rnacentral:lncRNA from 1 species
ACCACUGUAUACUCUUCCUAUAUAAGCACGGAAGCACAAGUACACUGUACACAACUUGAUCCAAACCUCGAAAUGAAGCUCCCAACUUCAUUCUUACCUCUGCUUCUUCUGUUAUCAUCUUUUUCUUUCUCUUCAUCAGCAACCAAAACAGAUGACUUUCUAAAUUGCCUGGCCAAGUCUUCUGAUUCCACCACAAUCUCCAAGCUUGUUUACACCCCUGCCAACUCCACUUUCGAUGCUGCAUUAACAUACUCUAUUAAUAACCUACGUUUCGCGCAGGCCUCAACUCCCAAACCCCUGGUCAUUGUCACCCCAACAACCGAAUCUCAAGUCCAAAAUGUCAUCUACUGCACCAAGAAAACAGGCUUGGAAAUGAGGAUCAGGAGUGGUGGCCACAGUUACGAGGGCUUCUCGUAUGUUUCAUCACUCCAAUUUAUAGUCCUGGACUUGCGUAACAUUAACAAUGUCACCCUUGACUUGUCAACCAAAACUGCAUGGGUGGAUAGUGGUGCUACAACCGGUGAACUGUAUUAUUACAUCAGCAGGGCCACUUCGGCUUAUGGGUUCCCCUCUGGACUAUGGUCUAAUGUUGGCGUUGGUGGGAUCUUGAGUGGCGGGGGGUACGGUAUGUUGAGGAGGAAAUAUGGUAUAGCUGGAGAUCAAGUGAUCAAUGCUCGUUUGAUUGAUGCAAUGGUAGAAUCCUCACUAGGAGGACCAUGGGUGAAGAUCUGUUCUGGGCAAUCAGAGGUGGUGGUGGUGGAAGCUUCGGAGUUGUUGUGUCCUGGAGAGUUAAUCUAGUACCCGUUCCUCCAAUUGUUACAGUUUUUCGGGUUUUUAGAACUUUGGAAGAAGACAUGACUAAUAUUUUCUACAAGUGGCAAUCUGUUGCCCCUGUCUUCCCUAAUGAACUUGACAUCAGGUAAUUAAGCUGACAUGUGAUCAAUUUAAUUCUAAGAAAACUGGGAUUUUUCAGUACCUGCGUGUAAUUUUAACUCGUAAAUAUGACAUUUUUUUGUUACUGCUAUACUUUUUGCAUAACUGAAGUUUCUGGUAUGUCCUGUCAGGUGCAAUGGACAGGUCAUUCUAAGUAAUUCCAGUACCCGAUCGGAUAAAAAGACCAUGCAAAUGAACUUUGAGUCACUAUACCUGGGACCAGCCAGUGAAGUUCUUGCAAUAAUGAGAGAAAGAUUGCCAGAGCUGGGAUUGGUGAGGGAAGAUCUGUUUGAAGUGAGCUAUAUCCAAGCUAUGGUAUUUUUUUCGCAGUUCCCUAUCCAGGCGCCACCCGAGAUUUUACUAGACAAAACUAUUUCACCUCGUCCAGCAUUCAAAGGAAGCUCAGAUUUCUUCAAGGAACCAAUGCCAAUAGAAGGACUACUAGGCCUGUGGGAUUACAUGUUCCAACUUCCCGAUAACCAAGCAUUCUUGCAGUACACUCCCUAUGGUGGUAGAAUGAAUGAAAUCUCCGCGACCGCGCUCCCAUUCCUUUACCGAGCAGGCUACUUGUACAUGUUCAACUUCUACGCGGUGACAUGUCCAAGUCGAGAAAAAUUUGCAGAAGAGACUGCGAGGAUGGAUUGGGUGAGGACAGUGGAUGAAUAUCUAACUCCUUACGUGACAAGCAAUCCCAGGAGUGCAUAUGUGAACUAUGUGAAUGUUUGGAUGGGUCAGAAUAAUCCAACAGGGAGCACAAGUUAUGCUCAGGCUAGCCAAUGGGGAAAGCGUUACUUCGGUGUAAAUUUUGAUAAGUUGGUCGUGCUCAAGACACUGGCUGAUCCUUUCAACCUCUUCAGACAUGAGCAGAGUAUCCCUGUUUUUUCGUCUUACUCCGAUAUGUAGAAUAUUUGUUCGGUCCCUUUUUCCAUGUGUUCUCGUUUGUUUUAAAUAAGAUUGAAUGUAUUUUCGCCUUCAUCAAAUAAAAAUUUAUGCAUCCAUAAAAAUACAGGAGUUCGUUGGCCUAAUCUUGUAAAAAAGGUUAUCUUCUUAUAAUUAUGUUCUGAAUCACAAGAUCUUAAUCAGAUGACAUAGUUACUCUAACCUAACUUGUACCCUUGUCAAAACAUUAAACAUGUCUAUGCUUUCUUAACUGGUUUAUGACCCGGAUUACAUAAAUUUUUUAAGUUUAUUAUAUAUUAGAAAUUUAAUAUUUUUGAUAUAUUUAUUUAAAUUAUUAUUGUCGAGAUACAAAACUUGUUAAAUUAACAUACUCAUAUUUAAUUAUGUUUAUUAAUAAUUAAUAAUAAUAAUGUAUGGUGAUAAUCAAAUUUUGAUAUUUUGCUAUCAAUAUGGAAUCUUAUUUUUUUAUAUUGUGAUCCAUGAUAGAAAUUUUAUAGAGUUUGUUCGUAGAUUAAAUUAUUAGAGUUUUAAAAUUUAAAAUGAACAGUUUUGUUGACAGUUUAAUUUGUUGAUUGGAUGAUUGUUAUAUUACAAAAUUUAUAAGAGUAUAAUAAUUAUUAUAUUAAUUAAAAAAAUUAUAUGAUAAUAAUAAAAUUAGAGUUGUUUUGUAAAUUAAAUUAUUUGAAUUUGUUUGUUGACUGUAAUUAUGUUGGUGGAAUAAUCAUUAUAUUACGAAAAUCCUAAUUACCAUGAAAGUAUUCUCAUAAUUAUAAGAUAACAAUAUUUAUUAUAUAAAAAAAUUACAUGAUAACCAAUUUUGAUAGUAACGUAUUUCGUACUGAAGUUUUUCCACUAAAGAUGAAUUUCACAUAUUAAUUAAAAUUAUAUAUAUGAAUAAUAUCGAUUUGACUAUUACUAUCAAUAUAAACCUUUAUUUAUUUGAAUUUUGAAACAUGAUAACAAUUUUUCAGAGUUGUUUCAUAAAUUAAAUUAUUUGAGUUUAAAGAAAUUAAAAUAAAUAAUUUUAUUGGUGGUAUAGCUCUUGCAUUACGAAAUCCUAAUUACGGUAGAAGUUUUUUUUUAUAUAGUAUAGCAUUGAAGUCUUUAAUUAUAAAAUUCUAAUCAAUAUCAAAGUCUGAUAAUUAUAAAAUCCUAACCGAUAUCGAAGUCUUUAAUUAUAAAAUCCUAAUUAAUAUGAAAUUCUUUUCAUAAUAAUAUAAUAUAAUUAUAAAAUCCUAACCAAUAUGAUUUUUUUUAUUUUAGUUUAAUGAUUAUUGUUAUUAUUAAAUAAAAAAUUAUAUAUUACAAAAUCCUAAUAAAUGUAGAAGCCGUCUUUAAUUAUAAUAUUUUAAUCAAUUCAUGAAUAUUAUAAAAUCCUCACCAAUAUAAGUCUCUUAAUAAAAAUUCAAAAUUUAGGUGUAUAAUAAUAAUAAUAAUAAUAAUAAUUAAAUAUAAUAUAUGAUGACCAAAUUUUGAUACUUUUAACAUGUUCCAACGAAAUGUGGUUUCGCUUGUUAAUGAAGGGUAUUGUUGCGCUUGAAAAGGAAGGAAGGAACGUGUUGAGGAAUAUUGAAUUUGAACUUUGCAUGACGGAGGUAGAAUAGAAUAGUGAAACAUUUCCAAGCAUGAAUAUUCAACAAAUUUUGAUGAACCGUCGAUAAUAAUCUUUUGAUAAAAUAGAUUUUUUUACCAUUUAACUUAUUGUGUUUUUAGAAAUAUGUUAUCUGAUUAAAUUUUUUUUUUCUUUUUACUCACUAAUGUUAGAUUUUGAUUUUUUUAGCCACAACUUAGGUUCGAAUUUGAUUACUAGCAUUAUGAUAAUUUUAUUUGUCACUAAACUUAUUGCGUCUUUAGAAAUUAACCACUCAACUAUAAUUUUUUUUUUAUUUUACUCAUUAAUGUUAGGUUAUUUUUUUGUCACUCAAGUUAGGUUCGAAUUUGAUUAUUAGCAUUACAUUAAUUCUGUGUAACAUUAUUAAAAUAUAGUGGUAGUCGGUAAUAUUUUGAUGAUUUGGUAUAUGUCUGCAUCGUUAUAUAUAGUACUUUUUAUGUCUCCAAUAUCGUUUACCUUGAGUAAUAGGAAUUUUACACGCAUUUUAUGGCUUUUAAAAGAUGUAGUUUCAUAAAUAAUUUUACUUUUUUCUUCCGAAUAAAAAUUCAGCGUUUGAAUUUUUACACAAUAAAUAAUCACAAAAAUAAGUUAUGAAACUAUGUGAUAUAAGAGUCUUAAAAAAUACGUGCUGAGCAGUAGAAAAAACUGUAAACUAAUGAGAGGGACGGAAGGAGUAAUAAUAUUAAAAUGGUGCAUUAUAGGGGACAAUUAUCAAAAAUUAAGUUAACCUCUCUAUUUAUUUAUCUUGAAAAUUGUAAUAAGAUAAAGUUAUUAAAAUUUAUGAAGAUAAAUUUGACAGAGAUCUUAUACUGAGUUAGUCGAUUGAAACUUUAAUAGCGAAAGAUGAUGCAUCAUAUCACUCAAUUACACUUUAUCUUAUUAGGGAGGGUGAAUUGUUUGAAAUCAUUGAUUUCAUAUUUAUGAUUUAUCAAAUUUUUAGAAUUCUAAAUACGAUUUUUCCUGGUUUUAAUUUUUCAUCGACUCAUUUUAUAUUAUUAUUGUUAUAUAUAAAGAUAUAAACAUACGACACAUCAUCAAAAUAUUACAUACUAACACUAUGUAUAAAUGUUACUACAAAAAUUAUCAUAAUGCUAUAAUGCUAGUAAUCAAAUCCGAACCUAAGUUGGUGGCUAAAAAAACAUCCAAACCUAACAAAAAGGGAAAAAAAUUUAGUUGGAUGGCAAGUUUCCAAAAACACUAUAAGUUGAGAGCAUCUCCAACGCAGGUCGCCUAUUAGCUUUAAAAUCUAAGUGUCAGUCCAUAUACCUAAUAUGUAAAAGAAACACAACUCCAACGCAGAGACUUUUUAGCAAUAUUUUUAGAUGCCAAGAAAUCAGCACGCUACAUUUGUUGAAUGAGAGCCUAUCAUCUAUAUCAUAUCCACGUCAUUUUCUUUUAAAAUUUAACUUAAAAGAAAAUUUAACUGUGUUUCAACCUAGGUGUCUAUACUAUAUUAUAUAUAUGUAUUAUAAUAUUAUAAUUAUAUUGUAUAUAUUUGUAUAUCUUUUUAAUUUUAUAAUUUAAUUUUAUGUAUUGUUAAGUGUAAAAAUAUUUAUAUAAAAUAAAUAAUAUAAUAAAACUAAUAUAAGAACUUAUAUAGUUAUUUAACGUCAAUUGUGAAUUUUUAACAAAGAAAAUUAGUAAAUCUUUUACAUAAUAUAAGUAAUUUUUGUUAAUUAGUUUUUUCAAGUUUUUAUUAUUAUAAUAGUAUCGGUAUAUAUGUUUUUAUUAAUUAUAUUUUUUAUUUUCACUUAUAUUAAAUAAAAAAAUAAUUAACUUUAUAUUAUAAUUCUUUCAAACCCUUUUUAUCAAAAGAUAAUUAGCUUAAAAUCUUUCAUUUAACUUUGAUUCUUGCACUUCUAAAUUUUAUUUUUUUUAUUUAUAGCAUAUAACAUUCUACCUUAAAUCAUUUUUCCAAUAUUUAAAUUGAAAUAUUUAAGGUACUAUUAUUAUUUCAAGUAUAUAUGUAUUAUUCAUGUUUUUUUAUAAAUAAUAUUGUUAUGUAAUAUUAUUUGAAAAUGUUACUUUAUUGUCAAUCAAAUUUUUUAAAAAAUUAUAAUAUAAUAAUAUAAAAAUGUUAAAUAUUAUAAUUAAUCAUUAUUAUCAUAGAUAUUAUUUUGUUUUCAAUAAUAUAGAAUAAAAACUAAAUAAAUUAUUUUAUUGUAUAUUUAUAAUUAACAUUUAAAAUAAUAUUUUGGAUAUAGCUAAUGGUUUUAGCUAAUACCCGUUGGAGCAAAAAUUCUUACAGGCUCAAAAUGUUUUUAGCUAAUGAUAUUUUAGCUAACAGUUUCUUCUUUAGCCUUGGAGAUGCUCUGAGUGGCAAAAAAAUUUAUUUUCCCUAAUCUUUUAUACUCCCUCGGUCCCUAAAUAUUUUUCUCAUUUGUCUUUCUCACGUUUGCUAAUACUCACUUUUGAUUAUUAAUAUCUUUAAUUUUAUAUUCAUAUUAAAUAUAAAAAGUUCACCGUAUUAAUGUACUCAUAAAUACGAAUCCAACAAGAUCAGUCAUGAUUAUAUUUUAUCUUAUAGAUUAAACGGUAAAUUAGUAAUUUGUCUCGUGUUAUGAACAGUACCGACAUUUCAAACCGGUAAUGUUUUUAGAGAGGGAGGGAGUAGUAAUUUUGAUGAGACGACAGUAUUGUUCAUCAAGUUGAAUGUCAGAGUCCACAUGUGUGUUGGCGACUUGAGAACAGGGCAUGACCAAUAUUUUUUACGAGUGGCUGUUCCUCCCCGGUCACCUAAAAGAACUUGACAUCAGAUAUAUUUUGCUCCUAAUAUUUGCUCUUGAAAUAACAUUUUGAGCUUCUGAUUUUAAUUAUUUGUGUUCGGUAUUUAUAAUUUCUUUUUACUCGCCUUGCCAAGUUUUUUGGCCAUGGGCUGACAGGUCAGUGGAAGAGGGCUCCCUUACAUUUAUAACCAACUUGAACGUAAAGUUUUCAAAACCAACCAGCCUACGUUCAAUUUUUCAAAACUAACCAGCCUAAUUCAUUUAAAGUAGGGCGACCCAAACUAAAUUUUUUUGGCUUCAGGGGUCGCCCCUGCCAAGGGGGGCGACCCUUACUUUCAUUUUGCCCCAGUAGGGGUCGCCCCUGCCAAGGGCGACCUCCACUGUUUUAUUUUUUAUUUUUUUAAAUUGUUGCAUUAUUUUAUUAUAUGUUUAUCAUGUUAUUUUAAAUCAUUUUAUUAUGCAUAUAUAAAUUUGUUAAAAUAAUAUAAUUAAUGAAAUGAAAUGAAAUUAGCUCUUGCAUUACGAAAUCCUAAUUACGGUAGAAGUUUUUUUUUAUAUAGUAUAGCAUUGAAGUCUUUAAUUAUAAAAUUCUAAUCAAUAUCAAAGUCUGAUAAUUAUAAAAUCCUAACCGAUAUCGAAGUCUUUAAUUAUAAAAUCCUAAUUAAUAUGAAAUUCUUUUCAUAAUAAUAUAAUAUAAUUAUAAAAUCCUAACCAAUAUGAUUUUUUUUAUUUUAGUUUAAUGAUUAUUGUUAUUAUUAAAUAAAAAAUUAUAUAUUACAAAAUCCUAAUAAAUGUAGAAGCCGUCUUUAAUUAUAAUAUUUUAAUCAAUUCAUGAAUAUUAUAAAAUCCUCACCAAUAUAAGUCUCUUAAUAAAAAUUCAAAAUUUAGGUGUAUAAUAAUAAUAAUAAUAAUAAUAAUUAAAUAUAAUAUAUGAUGACCAAAUUUUGAUACUUUUAACAUGUUCCAACGAAAUGUGGUUUCGCUUGUUAAUGAAGGGUAUUGUUGCGCUUGAAAAGGAAGGAAGGAACGUGUUGAGGAAUAUUGAAUUUGAACUUUGCAUGACGGAGGUAGAAUAGAAUAGUGAAACAUUUCCAAGCAUGAAUAUUCAACAAAUUUUGAUGAACCGUCGAUAAUAAUCUUUUGAUAAAAUAGAUUUUUUUACCAUUUAACUUAUUGUGUUUUUAGAAAUAUGUUAUCUGAUUAAAUUUUUUUUUUCUUUUUACUCACUAAUGUUAGAUUUUGAUUUUUUUAGCCACAACUUAGGUUCGAAUUUGAUUACUAGCAUUAUGAUAAUUUUAUUUGUCACUAAACUUAUUGCGUCUUUAGAAAUUAACCACUCAACUAUAAUUUUUUUUUUAUUUUACUCAUUAAUGUUAGGUUAUUUUUUUGUCACUCAAGUUAGGUUCGAAUUUGAUUAUUAGCAUUACAUUAAUUCUGUGUAACAUUAUUAAAAUAUAGUGGUAGUCGGUAAUAUUUUGAUGAUUUGGUAUAUGUCUGCAUCGUUAUAUAUAGUACUUUUUAUGUCUCCAAUAUCGUUUACCUUGAGUAAUAGGAAUUUUACACGCAUUUUAUGGCUUUUAAAAGAUGUAGUUUCAUAAAUAAUUUUACUUUUUUCUUCCGAAUAAAAAUUCAGCGUUUGAAUUUUUACACAAUAAAUAAUCACAAAAAUAAGUUAUGAAACUAUGUGAUAUAAGAGUCUUAAAAAAUACGUGCUGAGCAGUAGAAAAAACUGUAAACUAAUGAGAGGGACGGAAGGAGUAAUAAUAUUAAAAUGGUGCAUUAUAGGGGACAAUUAUCAAAAAUUAAGUUAACCUCUCUAUUUAUUUAUCUUGAAAAUUGUAAUAAGAUAAAGUUAUUAAAAUUUAUGAAGAUAAAUUUGACAGAGAUCUUAUACUGAGUUAGUCGAUUGAAACUUUAAUAGCGAAAGAUGAUGCAUCAUAUCACUCAAUUACACUUUAUCUUAUUAGGGAGGGUGAAUUGUUUGAAAUCAUUGAUUUCAUAUUUAUGAUUUAUCAAAUUUUUAGAAUUCUAAAUACGAUUUUUCCUGGUUUUAAUUUUUCAUCGACUCAUUUUAUAUUAUUAUUGUUAUAUAUAAAGAUAUAAACAUACGACACAUCAUCAAAAUAUUACAUACUAACACUAUGUAUAAAUGUUACUACAAAAAUUAUCAUAAUGCUAUAAUGCUAGUAAUCAAAUCCGAACCUAAGUUGGUGGCUAAAAAAACAUCCAAACCUAACAAAAAGGGAAAAAAAUUUAGUUGGAUGGCAAGUUUCCAAAAACACUAUAAGUUGAGAGCAUCUCCAACGCAGGUCGCCUAUUAGCUUUAAAAUCUAAGUGUCAGUCCAUAUACCUAAUAUGUAAAAGAAACACAACUCCAACGCAGAGACUUUUUAGCAAUAUUUUUAGAUGCCAAGAAAUCAGCACGCUACAUUUGUUGAAUGAGAGCCUAUCAUCUAUAUCAUAUCCACGUCAUUUUCUUUUAAAAUUUAACUUAAAAGAAAAUUUAACUGUGUUUCAACCUAGGUGUCUAUACUAUAUUAUAUAUAUGUAUUAUAAUAUUAUAAUUAUAUUGUAUAUAUUUGUAUAUCUUUUUAAUUUUAUAAUUUAAUUUUAUGUAUUGUUAAGUGUAAAAAUAUUUAUAUAAAAUAAAUAAUAUAAUAAAACUAAUAUAAGAACUUAUAUAGUUAUUUAACGUCAAUUGUGAAUUUUUAACAAAGAAAAUUAGUAAAUCUUUUACAUAAUAUAAGUAAUUUUUGUUAAUUAGUUUUUUCAAGUUUUUAUUAUUAUAAUAGUAUCGGUAUAUAUGUUUUUAUUAAUUAUAUUUUUUAUUUUCACUUAUAUUAAAUAAAAAAAUAAUUAACUUUAUAUUAUAAUUCUUUCAAACCCUUUUUAUCAAAAGAUAAUUAGCUUAAAAUCUUUCAUUUAACUUUGAUUCUUGCACUUCUAAAUUUUAUUUUUUUUAUUUAUAGCAUAUAACAUUCUACCUUAAAUCAUUUUUCCAAUAUUUAAAUUGAAAUAUUUAAGGUACUAUUAUUAUUUCAAGUAUAUAUGUAUUAUUCAUGUUUUUUUAUAAAUAAUAUUGUUAUGUAAUAUUAUUUGAAAAUGUUACUUUAUUGUCAAUCAAAUUUUUUAAAAAAUUAUAAUAUAAUAAUAUAAAAAUGUUAAAUAUUAUAAUUAAUCAUUAUUAUCAUAGAUAUUAUUUUGUUUUCAAUAAUAUAGAAUAAAAACUAAAUAAAUUAUUUUAUUGUAUAUUUAUAAUUAACAUUUAAAAUAAUAUUUUGGAUAUAGCUAAUGGUUUUAGCUAAUACCCGUUGGAGCAAAAAUUCUUACAGGCUCAAAAUGUUUUUAGCUAAUGAUAUUUUAGCUAACAGUUUCUUCUUUAGCCUUGGAGAUGCUCUGAGUGGCAAAAAAAUUUAUUUUCCCUAAUCUUUUAUACUCCCUCGGUCCCUAAAUAUUUUUCUCAUUUGUCUUUCUCACGUUUGCUAAUACUCACUUUUGAUUAUUAAUAUCUUUAAUUUUAUAUUCAUAUUAAAUAUAAAAAGUUCACCGUAUUAAUGUACUCAUAAAUACGAAUCCAACAAGAUCAGUCAUGAUUAUAUUUUAUCUUAUAGAUUAAACGGUAAAUUAGUAAUUUGUCUCGUGUUAUGAACAGUACCGACAUUUCAAACCGGUAAUGUUUUUAGAGAGGGAGGGAGUAGUAAUUUUGAUGAGACGACAGUAUUGUUCAUCAAGUUGAAUGUCAGAGUCCACAUGUGUGUUGGCGACUUGAGAACAGGGCAUGACCAAUAUUUUUUACGAGUGGCUGUUCCUCCCCGGUCACCUAAAAGAACUUGACAUCAGAUAUAUUUUGCUCCUAAUAUUUGCUCUUGAAAUAACAUUUUGAGCUUCUGAUUUUAAUUAUUUGUGUUCGGUAUUUAUAAUUUCUUUUUACUCGCCUUGCCAAGUUUUUUGGCCAUGGGCUGACAGGUCAGUGGAAGAGGGCUCCCUUACAUUUAUAACCAACUUGAACGUAAAGUUUUCAAAACCAACCAGCCUACGUUCAAUUUUUCAAAACUAACCAGCCUAAUUCAUUUAAAGUAGGGCGACCCAAACUAAAUUUUUUUGGCUUCAGGGGUCGCCCCUGCCAAGGGGGGCGACCCUUACUUUCAUUUUGCCCCAGUAGGGGUCGCCCCUGCCAAGGGCGACCUCCACUGUUUUAUUUUUUAUUUUUUUAAAUUGUUGCAUUAUUUUAUUAUAUGUUUAUCAUGUUAUUUUAAAUCAUUUUAUUAUGCAUAUAUAAAUUUGUUAAAAUAAUAUAAUUAAUGAAAUGAAAUGAAAUAAUAUAUAAAAAUUAAUAUAAAUUAAUAUUAAUAUUUUGUGAUAUAUUAUUUAAAAUUUUUAUUAUAAUUGUAUUAUAAUAAAGUUUUAUUAAUAUAAAAAUAAAAUUUAAUUGAUUGAAUUAACUAAAAAUAAAGAUCAAUUAAUAUAAAUAGAAAUUGCAUAUAUCAUUCCGAUUUGCAGUAUUAAAAAACUGCAAAUUGAAAUUACACACCUAGAGGGGGGGUGAAUAGGUGUUAUGACUAAUAUACCCGAUUUUUAUAAGUUACCAAAUAAUUAAUCUGUCAAUGACAGCCUGCUGUUAAUUUUCAGAGUAAACAGUUAGCCUGCUAAUAAGAUAAAUGCAAUGCAGAUAAUGUAAAGCAGUAUGCUAGCAACACCAAGAAUUUUAGCCAGGUUCGACCCCUAACCCUAAUGGUCUACGUCCUGGUCCCCUACCAACUGGUAAGAGAUUAUAUUAUUAAUCAAUAAUAUCAACGAUUACAAGAUUCAAUAAUAUAACUCCCUUUCUCCCUUGUUCCUGUUAUCAGCCUGCUGAAACCCCUGAACCACGAACCAAAAGCCUACCAAGACCUAUACUUCCCAAGUAUAUUCUCCUAGCUAACUAGUUCCCUUGUUCCCUUGUUUCACAAGCUGGAUACACAGCAACAAAACAUUACACCUUGAACAAUACAAUGAAUAAGUGUAAUACAACCGAAACUAUGAACUCUCAAUAUAGAUAUAUAUGCAAAUAUAAGUACUAGAGCUCAACAAAAGAUUUAGCAAUGUAAAGAGUUGUAUUUCAGAAAGCUUGGUGUGUUCUCCUUAUUCUAAAAAACGAAAUCACACUCAAGUAUAUAUACAUCACACUAACGGUCACAAUUCAACAAAUUUCCCAACGAUCUUGGUAACAACCUCACGUUUAAAUUUGAUUUGAAUGAUGAACGUUUGGAUGACAUAAGUUUACUGAGUAAAAGAUAAUUCACGUUUGAAAUCAUCUCAGUAAAGUAUUUAAAUAAAAUCCGUUUGAAACAAAAUAGGAGUUGUUCAAAAGAUAAGAUUUCUUUGAGAGAAAAUCUCCUAUUAGUUAGGAAAACGUUUUUGAAUGAAAACUCUUUAUAAAACCGAGCUCUAAUAUUUAUAUAAGAUAUAUACAAAUAUUAGAAUCCUUACAAAGUCGUUUCCUAUUAAAUCUCCAUGAAAAUAGACUUUGAUCUUUAUCCGAUUGUUUCUCUGUUCUCGCUGUUAGCCUACUGAUAGCUUGUAAAUAUCCCUGUAAGCUUGCUGACAGCUAUAAUCAUGCUAACAUCCUGAAAUACUGUUAGUCCGCAUAAACAACCUUUGAUAGCAUACUAACAUAUAUCAGUUUCAUGUUAUUAGCUUGCUGUUAGUGUCAUCAUCAAAACCUUGAGAGUAUCAAUCUCCCCCUUUUUGAUGAUUACACUAUAUUAGGAAAAGUAAUAAACUCCCCCUAAACAUAGCAAUCUAAUAUCACUGAACUUUCACACUUAACACAGAAUAUAAUAUAGCAGAUAUCUAAUUCACAGAUAUGCAAUAUUUAACUAACACCAAAACAAUUAAUCAAAGCAACUUACAUAGAUAAUUUAAAAUAAUCCUAACCAGGAUAAACCACCUGGUAUCCACAAAUUCAAAUCCAAACAACUUAAACAAAUUUACUCAGGAUAAACCACCUGAGAUCACCAAAUUCAAAUCCAACCAGCACAAAACAACUUAGUCUUAAAGCAAAUUAAACUUAGGGCCAAAUGUACUUAAGCAGAUAAACACAAACUUAAGUAAAGUCUUAUUUUCCUAAUGUUCCUAAUUUCCUCCCCCUUAAUCAUUAAAAAGGUUGAGAAAAUCAAGUUCCAGCCUUGUCCUGAUCAUCCUUUUCCUUCGCAAACUUCUUGGCAAGCUCCGCAGCAAUAAGAUUUUCAGCCAGCAUCGCAUUCCCAGCAGCAGCAUACUUGGAAUCAGUUCCAGCAGCUUCCUUCAGUGCAUCCAAAGCUGUCCUUGGCCUUGGGCUAUCUGUGGCAUCAUCUUCUGAAGUGAAGGUGACCUUCAUAUCGGACGAACCACCAGACCCAUACAUCCGCUGGCAGAGUUCAUAGGCAAAACUCCCAGAACUGCAUUUCUCUGAAGCAGUUGAAGUUCGAGCCCCAAACAUCAUCUCUUUCCAGAAACCAACCUGAGAAACCAACUCAGCCAUCUGCUCAGACAGCUGCUUUUGCCCGUCCAUCACCUCCUUGUGAUUUGCCCGAAGCUCACUCAUAUACUCAUGAAUUUCUUGAGCAGAAAUGCCCAAAUCAAUAACAUUCACAGACUGGGUUGUGGAUGGAGGAGGAGGAACUUCAACAGUAACCAACUGCCCAUCCUUAUCCAAUUUCAAAUUGGAUUGAGCCAAAAACUUAGCGUCCAAAAAUUCCUUAGCAACAAUGGUUUCCUCAUCAGCAAAAGACACACCAAACCACUCGAAUACUCGAGUCAACAACAAACCAUACGGUAAACCACCAGUUGAUUUACCCUCAACAGAAUCCAACAUAUUCUUUAAAAUCAAAUCACUUAAGUCAAAUUUGCGACCAGCCAUCAACAUAGCAACCACAACAAUAUCUUGAGAGGAUAAAUUAGAACGAGUUCCCAAUCUCGGACUGACAUUCUCUAUAGACAACUUAAAUAAAGCUUGUGCCAGUGGGAGCAAUUGUGUAGUUGACGGAAAAGCAUUUUCAGAAACAAUUUCAGACCCAGUGAUUAAUUUUAAUUGAUCUUUGUGAGAGAAACCCUCAACAUCCUUAGGUCCUCUUUUAGUGUGUAUAGACAUAGUAGAUGGUGGAAUCUUAAGUAUAGCCCCCAAAAACAUAGAGGACAGACAGAUCUUCACAUCCGACACAUACGAUACAUACUGAUCAGACCCAACUAACUGCAAAUUCGCAUAAAACUCUCGAACUAGAGCAGGGUAACAAUUUUUAGGCAUAUCCACUAAAAAUGACUGAAACCCUAAAUCCUCAAAGAGCUUCACGAUACCACAAGAGUAAAAGUUUUUGCCAGAAAGAGGCUUACCCAUGAUGACUUUCCGACCCGCAAGACCACGGACUGCAAGAACCUCUGACUUAACCUUCUUUUGCCCAGAUUCAACACCUGCAUCGCCCCGAUUGAUUCCGGAUAACUCAUCACCGCUUUCCAUAGUCACCAAAUCCUCGCUGGUUUCAUCAAUAAGCUUUCGCUUUUGAGAAGUAGGAGUGGGCUGAGGAGUGAGUGCCUUAACAUUAGCCCGCGUCUUCUUCCUCAUAGCUAAGCGUAAACCGAUUGAGGCUAUUGUGGCUACAAAGGCUUUUCGAAGAAAGUGGGAUAAAACCCUAGUGUCUCGGGGAGGGUUGAAUAUGUAGUUGAAAAGGCGUGGAGAUAGGAUUUGUUUUAAACACCUUUUAAUAAUUAUCAGGGGAGUAGUUUUAGGAAUAAAAUUAAACGAACUAAUAUUCCUAAGAAAAUUCAUGUUAAUCUAUUAGAUCCCGAAUAAAUAAAAAUUCUAGUGACCACUUAUCAUGUAACACUCCUAUAUAUACUCAGUGUAACUAAUUUGAAUUUUAAAACUAAUCAUAAAUUACACAGAUAAGCACAAAGUCACGUAUCAAAAUUCAACACACAAUUUCAUCUUUCUAAGCAUAUAACGGUAAUAUCAUUUAUGCACACAUAUAUCAAUUAAACACUUAAACUGACCGGCAUGCAAAAUAAAUAAGAAUUAUAUAAAAUGCUAUGAGUAAGCUGAUAGUACCCGGACCAUACUUAAAAGCCUGCUGACUGCACAUCACACAUAUCCAAUUCCCUUCUCAGCACGACAUAACGUUCCUCAGGAAGCGGUUUUGUGAAGAUGUCAGCUAAUUGUUCUGCUGUAGCCACAAAAAUUAACUUGACAGCACCCUUUGCAACAUUGUCUCUCAGAAAAUGAUGUCUAACAUCAAUGUGCUUUGUCCUUGAAUGAUUGACUGGAUUUUCUGAAAUGUUGAUUGUACUUGUGUUGUCACAAAAGAUAGGAGUUUGCUUGCAUUUGAUUCCAAAGUCCUUCAAUUGUUGUCUCAUCCAUAGCAUUUGAGAGCAACAGCUACCAGCUGCUAAAUACUCCCCCUCAGCCGUAGAUAGAGCAACUGAAGUUUGCUUCUUGCUUAACCAAGAAACUAAGCUUUGACCCAAAAAUGCACAAACACCACUUGUACUUUUUCUAUCAGUUUGACUACCUGCAUAAUCUGCAUCACUAUACCCAACAAGAUCAAAAGCAUUUGUGAUAGGAUAGAAUAAGCCCAAAGUAAUGGUUCCACUUAAAUAUUUAAAUAUUCUUUUAACAGCUUGUAAGUGAGAAUCCUUUGGUUUUGCUUGAAAUCUAGCACAAACACAAACACUAUACAUAAUAUCAGGUCUAGAGGCCGUAAGAUAAAGUAAACUUCCAAUCAUACCUCUAAACAUUCGAAUAUCAACAUCUUUACCAUUUUCAUCUGCUGUCAGCUUGCUGACAACGCUCAUUGGUGUUGAUUUCGCCUUGAUAUUCUCAUAUCCAAAUCUUUUGAGUAGAUUCUUGAUAUACUUGGAUUGAUGCACAUAAAUUCCUUCUGGAGUUUGCUUAAUUUGGAGCCCCAAGAAAUAAUUGAGCUCUCCCAUCAUGCUCAUGUCAAACUCACUAUGCAUGCACUUUGAAAACCACUUACACAAAGAAUCAUUAGUAGAUCCAAAUAUAAUAUCAUCUACAUAUAUUUGAACAACUAAUAUAUCUUGACCAUGACCGAGGUGCUUGCCUUAAUCCAUAUAGUGCCUUCUUGAGCUUGUAGACACGGUUGGGAUAUUUUUCAUCCUCGAAUCCUGGUGGUUGCUUGACAUAGACUUCUUCCUUUAGAUAUCCAUUUAAGAAUGCACUUUUGACGUCCAUUUGAUGUAGCUUGAACUUCUUGUAGCAUGCAAAUGAUAAUAGCAUCCUAAUAGAUUCCAAUCUUGCAACCGGAGCAUAUGUUUGAUCAAAAUCAAUUCCUUCUUGCUGAUUGUAUCCUUGUGCAACAAGUCUAGCUUUGUUCCGAGUGAUAGUACCAAAUUCAUCAACUUUAUUCUUAAACACCCAUUUGGUUCCAACAAUUGAAGCAUCCUCUGGUGGAUCUACAAGUUCCCAAACAUCACAUCUUUCAAAUUGGUUGAGUUCUUCUUGCAUUGCCAUGAUCCAAUUUUCAUCUUGUAAAGCCUCUUGAACAUUCUUUGGUUCCUCUUGAGCUAUAAAGGCAGCAUAAGCACAAAUGUUGGCUUGAGCUUUCCUUGUCUUGAUUCCAGCUGAUUUAUCUCCAAUGAUCAACUGAGGAGGAUGAAUCAUUACUGUUCUAGUUGAUUUUGGUAGAUUGUGUUGAGCUAUGACCUCUUCAUUCCUUGUAGUCUGCCUAGGAGGAGUCUGAUCAACAACAUUUUGGCUUGCUGAUGAAGUUUGACCUCUGGAUUCAUCCAAUGUGAGCUUUGACAUCUUAUCCAAAGUUUCUUCAAGAGAUGGAGUGGAUUCAGUAGCUUUAUUGCCUUCUGAAGUUGUGGCAGUUGACUUGUCAGCUUGCUGAUUUCCAGUUUCCUGCACUGUCAGCUUGCUGCUAGUACCUGAACCUGCACAUUCUUCCUCAUCUCUUGCAAGAUCAUCAGUAGACUCUUGAAAUGAAACAUCAAUAGACUCUUCAACAGUAUGUUUAGCAAGAUUAUACACUCUAUAAGCACGACUCGUUAAAGAAUAACCCAAAAAUAUAGCUUCAUAAGAUUUAGAGUCGAAUUUACCAUCCCUAUCAAUGGUUUUGAGUACGAAGCACUUAGAUCCAAAAACUUUGAAGCAGCUGAUGUUAGGCUUCUUUUUCCUUAGCAGUUCAUAAGGAGUCUUGUUGAGAAUUGGCCUGAUAAGCACUCUGUUAAGAACAUAGCAUGUUGUGUUGACAGCUUCUGCCCAGAAACUUCUUGGCAGCUUGCUCUCCUGCAGCACUGUCCUAGCUGUUUCUUGUAAGGACCUGGUCUUACGCUCUACAACUCCAUUUUGCUGAGGUGUAUGAGGUGCUGAGAACUCAUGUGAGAUUCCUCUUUCUUCACAAUAAGUAAUGAAGUCUUUUUGGAAUUCCCCACCAUGAUCACUUCGAAUACCAUUUUCUUUGCCUUAUGUGGAGUCCUUGUUUGCUUUCCCAAUUGACAAGCAGAACAUGUCUCCAUCUUGACAUACUUAAGCUUUGGUAAUCCUCGAACAAGCUUCUUUGCUGACAGCUUGCUGAGAUUAUCCAUAUGAGCAUGUCCAAGCCUUCUAUGCCAAAUUUCUGGAUUGUUAUCCAUAGCUGCUAAACAAACACCUGCCUCCUGUUCUUCAAAGUUCAAAACAUAUAUAUUUCCUUCUCGUUUUUCAACUAGAGGAGAUUUGUUAGCACCAACAAGUAUAGUACAUUUAUCCUUACCAAAGUUAACAAUAUGACCAUCAUCAAAUAACUGACUUAUACUAAGCAAGUUAAAAGUAAGACCUUUGACAUAUUGUGCCUUGUUAAUAGAAAUGAUACUAUUACCUAUAGUUCCUUUGCCAAGAAUAGGAAGAGUCUUGCUAUCACCAAUUGUGACACGACCACCCUUCUUCAUCUCCAAGCUUAGAAACUGAGAUUUGUCUCCACUCAUGUGCCUAGUGCAUCCACUAUCCAAUAUCCAUUGAUUUGGCUUUACUUUAGACACGAGACAAACCUACAAAACAAACACAAACAACUCAACGUUUUGGUACCCAAAUUUUGUUGGGUCCAGCAGUGUUAGAUGAUAAAACAUAUAGAACAUUUAUAUCAGAUUUCUUGAUCCACAUUUGGACCACUUUAGAACUCUUCUUCCAUGUUCUGCCAGUCUUAUCAGCAUACUGUCUAGGAGCUGUCUUCUGUCUGUUUGUGUUGUCAGCAUACUGUCUGUGAGUUGACUUCCUUCUCCAGCUUGCUGAUUGAGUAUUCUUCAUUGGACAAUUAUUAGCAAGAUGGCCCUUCUUUCCACACUUGUGACAAGUCACCCAAGGCAUGGCAUAAUUAUAUGGAAUGCCAUUUUUCCCUUCAUAUCUCAUUGAAGAUGUGGAUGUAGAAGCUGCACCAAUGCCUCCUUUGUCAUGAGAACCUUUAGCUUGUUUCAUCAUAGAUUUGAGACUUUCUUCUCCUUGAACAAACUUUCCCAUGGCUUUCUGAAGAUCUUUGACUUCUUGCUCCAAUGACUUGAUCUUUUCAGCUUGAAUAGAGAUUUCGGCUAAGCUUUGGGAUUUGCUUAACUCGAAUGCUUCCAAGCUUGCAUCCUUAGCUUUAAGGUCUGCUCUCAGCGAGCUGAGUUCCUUCAUGAGUGUAUCAUUCCUUCUUUGGAUUUGCAUGUUGUUCCCUUCAAGUUGUGAGAUUUGUUCCUUGAGAGUAGCAAUGAUUCCACUGCUUGCCUUGGCACUCUUUUCAUUCAAGAAAUCACCUAUGACUUUCUUCAAAUGCACAUUUUCUUUCUCGAGCUCAUAGUUCUCAUUCUUUAGAUCAAUGAGUUCCAUAAUUGACAGACAACUUUUAUCCUGCAUGGUUAGUUCACAAGAUGUUGUAUCAAUAGAAUGUAAUUCAGAAUUAAUAGAAUGUACCUCACUAUUAGUCUCUGAAUCUGAAUCAGUUGUCUCUAUUGAGCCAUCGAGACCAACAAGAGCCAAGUUAACCAUCUCAUCACUUGAAACAUCAGAAGCUGAUUCAUCUUCAUCAUCACUCCAUGUGAGAAGUGCCUUUGAUUUCUUUUUGUUCUUGUAAUCAGCUUGCUGUUUAGGCGGCUUAGACUUGUUUUUCAGCUUGUAGCAAUCCCUUUUGAAAUGUCCUUUCUUGCCACAUUCGAAACAUGCAUCAUCUUUUGGAUCUUUCUUUGCACCAAAAGCUUUGCCCUUUUCUCUUUUCAUCUUAUUCUUCUUUUCGAUCAUUCUUUUGAUUUUUCUGGACAUGAGAGCUAGAUCCUCAUCUAAUUCUGUUUCCUCAUCCGUUUCCAGCUUGCUGACAGAGGAGUGCAGUGCAAGAUUAUUCAUUUUCUCAGUAGGCAGCUUGCUGCUUUCUGAGCUGUUAGCUUCAAUCUUAGCUUCAAAUUGUUCCAACUCAGCAAAUAUAGCCAGGUGAUCCAUAGUAUCAAUGUUGAGAGCCGACUCCAAUGCUGUGACCUUGGCACCAUAUUCGAAUGGAGUUGCGUUAAGAAUAUUCAUGUUGAUUUCCGAUUGAGGAAUCUUUUUGCCAAGUCUUUCAAGACUGUUGAGAGUGACUUGGAAUCUAGCUUGGCUUUCUCGAAUGGAUUCUCCCUUCUUGAUAGCAAAGCUUCCAAAUUCUUUCAUAAGCUUUCCGAGCUUGACUUUCUUUAAUGCCUUUGAGCCUUCGUGAUAUGUCUCCAAUGCAUCCCAAAUUUCUUUUGCAGAUUUGAGAGAAGAGACCUUGUCAUAUUCAGCUUGAUUCAGCCCAUUGAUUAAUGUACUCCUUGCUUUUCCAUUGGCAGCAACCUUUGAUAGCUCGUCCGCUGUGAGAACAUCAACGUCCUUGACUUUGCCAUCGCUAUCAAGAUAUUCAUAAGGACCUCUUUGCACAACUCUUUGCAUUAGGGGAUCUCUGGAUAGAUGAGCCUCCAUUUGGCCUUUCCACCAAUUGUAGUUGUCAGAACCCGUGAGGAGAGGAGCUCUAAAAUCGGACUUUCCCUGAAAGUUAUCAGCCAUAUCGAUCGAUACUAUUCCUGUUACAGAAGUAUUAGUACAAACACAGCUCUGAUACCAAUUGAAAUUACACACCUAGAGGGGGGGUGAAUAGGUGUUAUGGCUAAUAUACCCGAUUUUUAUAAGUUACCGAAUAAUUAAUCUGUCAAUGACAGCCUGCUGUUAAUUUUCAGAGUAAACAGUUAGCCUGCUAAUAAGAUAAAUGCAAUGCAGAUAAUGUAAAGCAGUAUGCUAGCAACACCAAGAAUUUUAGCCAGGUUCGACCCCUAACCCUAAUGGUCUACGUCCUGGUCCCCUACCAACUGGUAAGAGAUUAUAUUAUUAAUCAAUAAUAUCAACGAUUACAAGAUUCAAUAAUAUAACUCCCUUUCUCCCUUGUUCCUGUUAUCAGCCUGCUGAAACCCCUGAACCACGAACCAAAAGCCUACCAAGACCUAUACUUCCCAAGUAUAUUCUUCUAGCUAACUAGUUCCCUUGUUCCCUUGUUUCACAAGCUGGAUACACAGCAACAAAACAUUACACCUUGAACAAUACAAUGAAUAAGUGUAAUACAACCGAAACUAUGAACUCUCAAUAUAGAUAUAUAUACGAAUAUAAGCACUAGAGCUCAACAAAAGAUUUAGCAAUGUAAAGAGUUGUAUUUCAGAAAGCUUGGUGUGUUCUCCUUAUUCUAAAAAACGAAAUCACACUCAAGUAUAUAUACAUCACACUAACGGUCACAAUUCAACAAAUUUCCCAACGAUAUUGGUAACAACCUCACGUUUAAAUUUGAUUUGAAUGAUGAACGUUUGGAUGACAUAAGUUUACUGAGUAAAAGAUAAUUCACGUUUGAAAUCAUCUCAGUAAAGUAUUUAAAUAAUAUCCAUUUGAAACAAAAUAGGAGUUGUUCAAAAGAUAAGAUUUCUUUGAGAGAAAAUUUCCUUAUUAGUUAGGAAAACGUUUUUGAAUGAAAACUCUUUAUAAAACCGAGCUCUAAUAUUUAUAUAAGAUAUAUACAAAUAUUAGAAUCCUUACAAAGUCGUUUCCUAUUAAAUCUCCAUGAAAAUAGACUUUGAUCUUUAUCUGAUUGUUUCUCUGUUCUCGCUGUUAGCCUGCUGAUAGCUUGUAAAUAUCCCUGUAAGCUUGCUGACAGCUAUAAUCAUGCUAACAUCCUGAAAUACUGUUACUCCGCAUAAACAACCUUUGAUAGCAUACUAACAUAUAUCAGUUUCAUGUUAUUAGCUUGCUGUUAGUGUCAUCAUCAAAACCUUGAGAGUAUCACAAAUAAAAUUACAUAUGAUAAAAAUGAGAACAUGACAUAAGUUCUCAAUCCUGACUGAUGUCCACAAUAUAGUCGGAACCAUAUCCUUCAUCAUCAUCUUCAUCGUCCUCAGCGUGAGCAUCAUCGUCUCCACCAUCAUCAGCAACACCGCCUUCCUCUUCAUCGUCAACAUCAUCAUCGGCCCACGGGGUAGGCAUUUGUACUCGACGGCACUGAUAAGUUACAUUGUCCACAUCUCCCCACUCGGCCCCAAAAUCUGGCUUCCUGACUUNNNNNNNNNNNNNNNNNNNNNNNNNNNNNNNNNNNNNNNNNNNNNNNNNNNNNNNNNNNNNNNNNNNNNNNNNNNNNNNNNNNNNNNNNNNNNNNNNNNNNNNNNNNNNNNNNNNNNNNNNNNNNNNNNNNNNNNNNNNNNNNNNNNNNNNNNNNNNNNNNNNNNNNNNNNNNNNNNNNNNNNNNNNNNNNNNNNNNNNNNNNNNNNNNNNNNNNNNNNNNNNNNNNNNNNNNNNNNNNNNNNNNNNNNNNNNNNNNNNNNNNNNNNNNNNNNNNNNNNNNNNNNNNNNNNNNNNNNNNNNNNNNNNNNNNNNNNNNNNNNNNNNNNNNNNNNNNNNNNNNNNNNNNNNNNNNNNNNNNNNNNNNNNNNNNNNNNNNNNNNNNNNNNNNNNNNNNNNNNNNNNNNNNNNNNNNNNNNNNNNNNNNNNNNNNNNNNNNNNNNNNNNNNNNNNNNNNNNNNNNNNNNNNNNNNNNNNNNNNNNNNNNNNNNNNNNNNNNNNNNNNNNNNNNNNNNNNNNNNNNNNNNNNNNNNNNNNNNNNNNNNNNNNNNNNNNNNNNNNNNNNNNNNNNNNNNNNNNNNNNNNNNNNNNNNNNNNNNNNNNNNNNNNNNNNNNNNNNNNNNNNNNNNNNNNNNNNNNNNNNNNNNNNNNNNNNNNNNNNNNNNNNNNNNNNNNNNNNNNNNNNNNNNNNNNNNNNNNNNNNNNNNNNNNNNNNNNNNNNNNNNNNNNNNNNNNNNNNNNNNNNNNNNNNNNNNNNNNNNNNNNNNNNNNNNNNNNNNNNNNNNNNNNNNNNNNNNNNNNNNNNNNNNNNNNNNNNNNNNNNNNNNNNNNNNNNNNNNNNNNNNNNNNNNNNNNNNNNNNNNNNNNNNNNNNNNNNNNNNNNNNNNNNNNNNNNNNNNNNNNNNNNNNNNNNNNNNNNNNNNNNNNNNNNNNNNNNNNNNNNNNNNNNNNNNNNNNNNNNNNNNNNNNNNNNNNNNNNNNNNNNNNNNNNNNNNNNNNNNNNNNNNNNNNNNNNNNNNNNNNNNNNNNNNNNNNNNNNNNNNNNNNNNNNNNNNNNNNNNNNNNNNNNNNNNNNNNNNNNNNNNNNNNNNNNNNNNNNNNNNNNNNNNNNNNNNNNNNNNNNNNNNNNNNNNNNNNNNNNNNNNNNNNNNNNNNNNNNNNNNNNNNNNNNNNNNNNNNNNNNNNNNNNNNNNNNNNNNNNNNNNNNNNNNNNNNNNNNNNNNNNNNNNNNNNNNNNNNNNNNNNNNNNNNNNNNNNNNNNNNNNNNNNNNNNNNNNNNNNNNNNNNNNNNNNNNNNNNNNNNNNNNNNNNNNNNNNNNNNNNNNNNNNNNNNNNNNNNNNNNNNNNNNNNNNNNNNNNNNNNNNNNNNNNNNNNNNNNNNNNNNUCCAGAUAACCCGAUCCCCCAAUUCACCGAGGAGAUCAUGGCAGCAAGGAUUUCUCGGAAGUUCAAAUUGCCCACUAUUAAGGCAUAUGAUGGAACGGGUGACCCCGCGAAUCAUGUACGAACCUUCAUGAAUGCAUUGCUGUUGCAACCAGUCACGGAGGCCAUCAAGUGUCGAGCCUUCCCCCAAACCUUGAGCGGGAUGGCUCAGCACUGGUAUAGUCGACUACCCCCUAACUCUAUAUCCUCGUUUGGAGAUUUGAGCCGAGUUUUCAUGGGCCAGUUUAUUGGGAGUAAGACCCACGCUAAGAGUUCAGCCUCGUUGAUGAACCUUCACCAAGGCAGGAACGAAUCCCUUCGAGACUAUAUGAAUAGGUUCACCAAGGAGGCGCUCAAAGUCCCGGAUUUGGACCAAAAGGUAGCGAUGAUCGCCCUUCAACAAGGAACCACGGAUGAUAAUUUCCGCCGCUCACUAGCCAAGAGGGCCCCUGACAACAUGAAUGAGCUCCAAGAGAGAGCCGGGAAGUAUAUUAUGGCAGAGGAAAGCAUGAGAAAAUCCCAGAAUAACCAGGGACCAACCACGGACUCUAAGAAGCGUGGGAACGAUGCUGAAUAUGAUGCUGAUCACAAGUAUUUGAAAAGGGAAGAUGGUGAAAAGUCACCCACCAAGAAGCAAUCAGGACCGAGGUUCACUGAGUAUGCAAGGCUGAAUGCCCCCAGGAGUCAGAUUCUGAUGGAAAUUGAGAAAGAGGGAGGAGUUCGAUGGCCGAAGCCAAUUAGGACUGACCCCGAAAAGAGAAACAAGGACUUGUAUUGCAGGUUUCAUAAGGAUACGGGACAUAAGACCGAUGAUUGUCGGCAGUUGAAGGAUGAGAUUGAGUUUUUGAUCCGGAAAGGCAAGUUGUCCAGGUAUACUAGGGAUGCAGAUAGGAAUCCCCGUGACAAUGAUAGUCGCGAUAGGGACAAUGAUGAUCAUGAUAGGAGAACCGAGCCUCGAGGGCCCAUGAUCAAUAUGAUCUCUGGAGGACCGACUGCAGCAGGCUUGUCUAGUAACUCACAAAAAGCUUAUGCUCGUGAAGUGAUGUGUAUCAUUGGAGAACCCCCGAAGAGGGCCAAGACCGAGAUUGCGUUAACCUUUGAUGAUUCUGAUCUAGAAGGGGUGAAGUUCCCCCAUGACGACCCGUUGGUCAUAACUCCCGUUAUUGGAAACUCAUCUAUUAAGAGGGUUCUUGUUGAUAAUGGAGCUUCUGUAGACAUCCUCUUCUAUGAUGCUUAUCAAAAGAUGGGGUAUGCUGAUUCACAGUUGACACCGUCCAACAUGCCGAUCUAUGGUUUCAACGGAGUAGAAUCCAAGAUUGAAGGAAUGAUCCAAUUACCAGUGACCAUGGGAGCGGAGCCACGACAGGCCACUUACAUGAUGAGCUUUAUGGUCAUUAAGGCCUCAUCAACCUACAACGCUAUCCUAGGAAGGACAGGGAUGCAUGCUUUUAAAGCCAUAGCAUCCACAUAUCACUUGAAAAUCAAGUUCCCCACAAGAAAUGGGGUAGGAGAAGAAAAAGGAGACCAAAAAAUGGCCAGGAGUUGUUAUGUUGCAGCCUUGAAACCCCGGGGAGUCGGGGGGCAGGUUCUAUCAAUUAAGGAACUGGUUCCCAUCUCCUUGUACCGAGGUAAACCAGAAAAGGUUAUGGCGUUUGAUCUUAAGAAUGCAAGAGCCACGUAUUGGCGCCUAGCUAAUAAGAUGUUUAAGCUUCUAAAUGAGAAGACCAUGGACGUCUAUGUCAAUGAUAUGCUAGUGAAGAGCUUGAAGAAAGCUGAUCACCUUGAGCGCCUGAGAGAGGCUUUCAGAGUCCUGAGGACAAAUAAGAUCGAAGUCUUGACUGACCAACCCCUUAGGAUGAUAAUGCAUAGCCCGAAGGCUAGUGGAAGAUUGAUUAAGUGGGCAGUAGAGCUUGAAAAUUUCGACAUUCGAUACAAGCCACGGGUGGCAAUCAAAGCUCAAGCUCUGGCUGACUUCCUAGUUAAAUGUACCGUUGAUAACCAGGAAGUUGGGGGGCAGGAGAGUAGGGUAGAGGAACCCAUAGAAGAGGAGAAACUUAAUGAGAUUUUUGACGAAGUUUCAAAAACAAAUGGUGCAGGGCUUGUGCUCCAAACCCCUGAUGGGUUCGUCAUUGAUUUUUCUACAAAGCAAGAUUUCCCGGCCACAAAUAACGAGGCUGAAUGUGAAGCCUGAUUGGCGUGCCUUGGACUAGCUAGAACUCUGAGAAUCAAGAACUUAAAAGUCUAUGGAGACUCAAGACUUGAAGUCUCUCAGUUAGCUUAUGGAGCCAAAGCAGUGGUGUCACUAGUCGCGACUCGUACAACUUUCAGACCCUGGAUGGAAUCAAGGUUCCAAGGAGUUGGCAUGCCACCAACUUGAAGAUUUAUUAUGUUUGAUUGUCUUAGUAAGUAGAUAACCGGCUCGUACAAGCUUCAGACCCUGGAUGGAGUUGAGUUUCCAAGGAGUUGGCAUGCCACCAACUUGAAGAUUUAUUAUAUUUGAUUAUCUUAGCAAGUAGAUGACCGUUGAAUAAGGUCUGAUAGACCACUGCCAGUUAGUUUAUAACUUAGUUGAUUUUAGUUGUUUAUCUCUUCUACUAUAGUUUCAAUAAAAUUUCUUAUGGAUUGCUCCAUAUCUCAUGUUUCUAAUGUUUUCCUUGAGUUUUUGUUUACCUACCGUGAACGGAUCAACCCGGAACAUGAAUUCAACCAUAAAUAAGUUACGAUUAACAUUGAUUGAGUGAAAAUUACAAGCUAAGGCUUGAUAAGUCCGAUACUACGAGUUAAGGCUAAACAAGUCUAAUACUACAAGUUAAGGCUAGAUAAGUCUAAAUAAGUAGACCACGCAGGGUCCUUAAUAAAUCCUACUCAUCAGACUCGGAAUCAGCCUCCGAGCUAUCUGCAGACCCGGACUCCCCAGCCGGAUGCUUUUCAAGAACAAUCCUCAUGGGACAGAGAUCUUCAAUAGGACUAGGAGAGUCAAGAACAAUCCUCAUGGGACAGAGGUAAUCCCAUUUAGGAUGGAAUAGGUCUGGAUGAUCCUCAUGAAUGAAAUGAACAGCCUCAUUCCACCCGUUACUGUAAUCCUCGGCAGAGGUGGUCUCAUUGUGCUUCUCCAGCAGAUUCUUGAACUCAUCAGAGUCCAUAUAGUCGUCGAUGAUAGCAUCCUUUCCCUUUCGAGCCUCGACUAGCUCGCUUCGAGCUUCCACUAGCUCCGAUUGAGUCUUAGCCACAAUCUCGUCUUUUUCCGCAUCCUUGAUUCGAAGGGCCUCCAUGCCCUCCUCCAAGGAUUCCUUAGCCUUCUUGUGGCUCUCAGCUUGUUUUUUCCAAGCUUUAGCCUGAUGGAGGGCAGCCUGGAAUUGAGCAUUGGCCUGAGACAAGUAGAUAAACGGGUUAAGGAAGACUCGGAGAACCUAAACAAUAAGUUUGUAAGAACACUCACACUAGCAAGGGCUUGAGAGCCAAAGCCAUCAAUCCCCUCGAUCUUCGACUGUAGCACCACAUCCUGGUAGUCGGCAGGGGUAAUAGAGUGAAGGGACCAAUCAGAAGCAUGAAUAGUCGAUCCCAGCAUCGAAUCAGUCCUUCGAAAACCCCAGGCCGGUUUAAAGGCUUCAGACUUGGAAGCCCGAGGCUGACUAGAUGAUCCUCCCUCUGCCGAAUGGGGUUGAAGGAAGGUAGGCAACUCCCGAGGGACCCGAGGGUCUUUAGCCAACCUAUGCCGCUUCAUCCGACCCGUCUCCUCUUGGAGAGGCGCAUUCUUCUCAUUGAUUUUUGUGACAGCUACAAAACAAAAACAAGAAAUAAGUUAAGUCGUGAAUAAUGGGGUAGACCCGAGAAAAGUCCUAGGUGUAAAAAAAAGGGGGGUUUAUACCUUCAUCACUAACCCUUGAAAGACCAAGCUUUCUAAGAUUGAAUUCAUCAAGGAGAUCCCAGCAUUUGGAUUGGCCAUUAUCUUUGACCAAUUCAGCAUAGGCUGCCUUCUCGACAUCCGAUAGGUGGAUGGAGUCGACACUCCCAUCAACGACCUUACAAAACUUGGAUCUGAAUCCCACAGACGGCGCCAAAUGUUAUGGAUCAAAAAUCGAGGGGUGAGCUUCGUGCUUUUUGACUGAUCUCGCGAGUCGGAACUCAGACGGGUCCUCACGAGGUGCCUACGUAUCUUCAGCGGGGUGAAGAAUCAAGUCAAAAAACGUAGUUCUAUUUUGGAGGGGUAGAGCCCUUUAUAUAGAUGUCUCAGGGUUAGAGACUGAUUAGAAGUAGGAUCCCUGGUGUUAGAGUCCUAGUAGAAAUAGGUGUAUGAGUCAGAGAUAGGAUAGGACUGAUCUCUGAUCCUUAUCUUGAGCUACUGGAGGUUAUCUAGGACUCUAGAUAGUUAUCCACGAAAUUCAGAGUUCUUGUAGAACUCUCGGAGUCCUGGACUCGUCAGUCAGACUCCUAGUAGGACUAGGAUUCGAGUUCUGGGCCCUGACCGGGCUGGGGGGCUCGUGCCUUGAGUUUGGGCAGCCCAUGUUUCUCAAACAUGAAUGCCCAACGGGCCUUUUAUAACCUCAAUCUGCUAGCCACGAAUUUUGGGUGACAAACCCAGAAUCCGGGCCUUAUAUUCUGGCCUUUAAUCAGACCCGGGCUCAAAAUUACCCAAUAAUUUUUAGGGCCAAUUUCAGACCCAUAUCAUUUGCCCACCAACUUUGGAUAAGUUUCACCCAUAGGGCGCCCAGGUCGACCUCACCCAGGUCGAUUUAGGGCGUGUUGGGAGCCCAGGUUGACCAUGGUGAGUGUUAUCAGGCACUCCUCGGGCGUUCUUGGCGCUCCUGGGGCGCUCAUAGGGCGCUCCCAAGGCGCUCAUAGGGCGCUCUCGAGCGUAAUCAUGUUUGAUUAUGAUAGACCCAGUUCAGGUUGAUUUAAGAGUUUAGAAGGCUUUUAAAGCCGAGACUCGCUGUGUCUAGUUAGCUUAUUGUCUAAUCGAGACUAGUUUUUUAUUUGUUAAGUCAAACAAUAAUCCCUUAGGCAUAUCAUAGGCCAAUCUCUUAACUAAGACUGAGCCAUGGCAUGUGUUUUAGGGGCCAUUUCUAGGCUUAUUCUAUAAUGGGGUUGUAUUAGGCUUUCUCAGGCUAAAGCUUGGAAGGAUCAAGCUGAGGGCCACAGAAAGACCAUAGAACCCCUGUUUCGAGUUGAUUAAUUCGUUGUAGAUAAACAAAUACUCAAGGAAAACAUUGAAACAUUAGAUAUGGAACAAUCCUCGAGAAAUUUUAUUGAAACUAUAGUAGAAGAGAUAAAUAACUGAAAUCAACAAAGUUUAAAACUAAAUGACAAUGGUCUAUCAGACCUUAUUCAAUGGUUAUCUACUUACAAAGACAAUCAAACAUAAUAAAUCUUCAAGUUGGUGGCGUGCCAACUCCUUGGAACCUUGACUCCAUCCAGGGUCUGAAAGUUGUACGAGUCGCGACUAGUGACACCACUGCUUUGGCUCCAUAAGCUAACUGAAAGACUUCAAGUCUUGAGUCUCCACAGACUUUUAAGUUCUUGAUUCUCAGAGUUCUAGCUAGUCCAAGGCACGCCAAUAAGGCUUCACAUUCAGCCUCGUUAUUUGUGGCCGGGAAAUCUUGCUUUGUAGAAAACUCAAUGACGAACCCAUCAGGGGUUUGGAGCACAAGCCCUGCACCAUUUGUUUUUGAAACUUCGUCAAAAAGCUCAUUAAGUUUCUCCUCUUCUUUGGGUUCCUCUACCCUACUCUCCUGCCCCCCGACUUCCUGGUUGUCAAUGGUGCAUUUAACUAGGAAGUCAGCCAGAGCUUGAGCUUUGAUUGCCACCCGUGGCUUGUAUCGAAUGUCGAAAUUUUCAAGCUCUACUGCCCACUUAAUCAAUCUUCCACUAGCCUUCGGGCUAUGCAUUAUCAUCCUAAGGGGUUGGUCAGUCAAGACUUCGAUCUUAUUUGUCCUCAGGACUCUGAAAGCCUCUCUCAGGCGCUCAAGGUGAUCAGCUUUCUUCAAGCUCUUCACUAGCAUAUCAUUGACAUAGACCUCCACGGUCUUCUCAUUUAGAUGCUUAAACAUCUUAUUAGCUAAGCGCCAAUACGUGGCUCUUGCAUUCUUAAGAUCAAACGCCAUAACCUUUUCUGGUUUACCUCGGAACAAGGAGAUGGGAACCAAUUCCUUAAUUGAUAAAACCUGCCCCCCGACUCCCCCGGGUUUCAAGGCUGCAACAUAACAACUCCUGGCCAUUUUCUGGUCUCCUUUUUCUUCUCCUACCCCGUUUCUUGUGGGGAACUUGAUUUUCAAGUGAUAUGUGGAUGCUAUGGCUUUAAAAGCAUGCAUCCCUGUCCUUCCUAGGAUAGCGUUGUAGGUUGAUGAGGCCUUAAUGACCAUAAAGUUCAACAUAUAAGUGGCCUGUCGUGGCUCUGCUCCCAUGGUUACUGGUAAUUGGAUCAUUCCUUCAAUCUUGGAUUCUACUCCGUUGAAACCAUAGAUCGGCAUGUUGGACGGUGUCAACUGUGAAUCAGCAUACCCCAUCUUUUGAUAAGCAUCAUAGAAGAGGAUGUCUACAGAAGCUCCAUUAUCAACAAGAACCCUCUUAAUAGAUGAGUUUCCAAUAACGGGAGUUAUGACCAACGGGUCGUCAUGGGGGAACUUCACCCCUUCUAGAUCAGAAUCAUCAAAGGUUAACGCAAUCUCGGUCUUGGCCCUCUUCGGGGGUUCUCCAACGAUACACAUCACUUCACGAGCAUAAGCUUUUCGUGAGUUACUAGACAAGCCUGCUGCAGUCGGUCCUCCAGAGAUCAUAUUGAUCACGGGCCCUCGAGGCUCGGUUCUCCUAUCAUGAUCAUCAUUGUCCCUAUCGCGACUAUCAUUGUCACGGGGAUUCCUAUCUGCAUCCCUAGUAUACCUGGACAACUUGCCUUUCCGGAUCAAAAACUCAAUCUCAUCCUUCAACUGCCGACAAUCAUCGGUCUUAUGUCCUGUAUCCUUAUGAAACCUGCAAUACAAGUCCUUGUUUCUCUUUUCGGGGUCAGUCCUAAUUGGCUUCGGCCAUCGAACUCCUCCCUCUUUCUCAAUUUCCAUCAGAAUCUGACUCCUGGGGGCAUUCAGCCUUGCAUACUCAGUGAACCUCGGUCCUGAUUGCUUCUUGGUAGGUGACUUUUCACCAUCUUCCCUUUUCAAAUACUUGUUAUCAGCAUCAUAUUCAGUAUCGUUCCCACGCUUCUUAGAGUCCGUGGUUGGUCCCUGGUUAUUCUGGGAUUUUCUCAUGCUUUCCUCCGCCUUAAUAUACUUCCCGGCUCUCUCUUGGAGCUCAUUCAUGUUGUCAGGGGCCCUCUUGGCUAGUGAGCGGCGGAAAUUAUCAUCCGUGGUUCCUUGUUGAAGGGCGAUCAUCGCUACCUUUUGGUCCAAAUCCGGGACUUUGAGCGCCUCCUUGGUGAACCUAUUCAUAUAGUCUCGAAGGGAUUCGUUCCUGCCUUGGUGAAGGUUCAUCAACGAGGCUGAACUCUUAGCGUGGGUCUUACUCCCAAUAAACUGGCCUAUGAAAGCUCGGCUCAAAUCUCCGAACGAGGAUAUAGAGUUAGGGGGUAGUCGACUAUACCAGUGCUGAGCCAUCCCGCUCAAGGUUUGGGGGAAGGCUCGACACUUGAUGGCCUCCGUGACUGGUUGCAACAGCAAUGCAUUCAUGAAGGUUCGUACAUGAUUCGCGGGGUCACCCGUUCCAUCAUAUGCCUUAAUAGUGGGCAAUUUGAACUUUCGAGAAAUCCUUGCUGCCAUGAUUUCCUCGGUGAAUGGGGGGAUCGGGUUCUCUGGAUCACCUGCAGCCAACAAGUGAAUUCUAUUCAUACCUGAGUUCUGAGGGUUUUCAGUCCUUUGUCGAGGUUCGGGCGGUGGCUGCCUGGCCGAUUGUGCGGUCGUCACAACGGUUGAGUAAUGAGUCCCAUGAUCAGUGGCUGUGGCCACAACAUUAGUCAUAGGGGGCAGCGUGCCAAAAAUCAUAGGAAUCGAGGUUUGAGCUGCGGUGGUUGUGCCACUGCUAGCAAGGGUCAACGUGACUGGUGGUGUGGUGGUGACGGGAUUUGAGGUUCCAGCGGUGACCUGAGACAAGGGUGGAUCCUGGGUUGCGGUGUUGUCUCCGUUUGAAGGUGCAUGAAUUUCUGAGCGUAAUCUGGUGGACACCAUGGUUGUUGUCUUCUUCCCACAGACGGCGCCAAAUGUUAUGGAUCAAAAAUCGAGGGGUGAGCUUCGUGCUUUUUGACUGAUCUCGCGAGUCGGAACUCAGACGGGUCCUCACGAGGUGCCUACGUAUCUUCAGCGGGGUGAAGAAUCAAGUCAAAAAACGUAGUUCUAUUUUGGAGGGGUAGAGCCCUUUAUAUAGAUGUCUCAGGGUUAGAGACUGAUUAGAAGUAGGAUCCCUGGUGUUAGAGUCCUAGUAGAAAUAGGUAUUUGAGUCAGAGAUAGGAUAGGACUGAUCUCUGAUCCUUAUCUUGAGCUACUGGAGGUUAUCUAGGACUCUAGAUAGUUAUCCACGAAAUUCAGAGUUCUUGUAGGACUCUUGGAGUCCUGGACUCGUCAGUCAGACUCCUAGUAGGACUAGGAUUCGAGUUCUGGGCCCUGACCGGGCUGGGGCUCGUGCCUUGAGUUUGGGCAGCCCAUGUUUCUCAAACAUGAAUGCCCAACGGGCCUUUUAUAACCUCAAUCUGCUAGCCACGAAUUUUGGGUGACAAACCCAGAAUCCGGGCCUUAUAUUCUGGCCUUUAAUCAGACCCGGGCUCAAAAUUACCCAAUAAUUUUUAGGGCCAAUUUCAGACCCAUAUCAAUGUGAACCUCUGCAUUAUGAUUUUGGUAGUGUGUAGUGUAUUUAUAGAGUUGUAGUAUGAGAACGUGGCUUAUGUAUUUUUAAUGCAGCCUUUGUUUUUGCAGUGUCUUGUGAAGGUGGUCAAAAUUACCUAAUGUCAUGCAGCUUUUCAUUGUGCAGUGUGUUGUCAAGCUUUCCAUUGUGCAGUGUGUGGUGAAGCUUUGCUUUACAUCAUGCAGGAGUAUUUGCACUAUUCACUACUGCUGAUCAUGUGAAAAUCGCUAUUAUUCUGUACAUGUGAUCAAUUGGAUUGUAACUGCAUUAUUAUCGUAGCACUAUUAUGAUAUGCCUAUAAAUAGGUUCACAUAUUAGGUUCUCAAUGCACACACAACCAUAGAGGGCGCACAUAAUAUAGUGUAGAUAAUGAAUUACACACCAGGUGAUUUGUUUGUUGCCAUGGGUAGAAAAUGGUGGUGUGAUUCAGACUUUACGUACUCUUUAAACCCAAAUUUACGUUACUCCCCUGAGUCGAUUACUACCAUGUUGCAUGAGUGGGAGUGGCGUGUGCGUACGCUUGAAGUGUGCAGGGAACGUUGUUCACUAGCUGGCCUUUCAAUUCCCAAGCAAAGGGCUCGUACCAUGCCUCGAGAUACACCACAGGAGAUGGAGGCCGCCCUCUUCAGAGCGAGAGAAGAGGAGAAUCGCAUGAAUCUGCGACUGCAUCGUCAGAGUCUAUAGGAUGAUGCUGGGAUGUUUCGCGAAGAAGGGGACUGGUUUAAAGAACAACAAUACCUUGUAUUGGUCACCAGCCCUGAUUACUAUUCUGAUAGCUACAUGUUUGAUGACGAGUAAUUGGUUUGUAGAACCGUCAUCAUUGUUUCCUGCUUUGAAGUUGAAGUUGUAUUACUAGCUUUUUAUUGUCUUUUAUUAAUAAACUUUGUUGUAUUUUGUCAAAAACACAACAUGAACAGAAAACACAAACACACAACAAACAUAAAACAUGAAGAAGACAAUAAUUUUCUUCUUCAUCCCAUCUAGAUCCAUGUCCCCUCAUGGUCUUCUUCAGUUUCUCAGCAUGCUUAGUCUCCAUGUUUGUAACUUCCACCGCCUGUGACCAUUUCAGGUCACUAAUUUCAUUUGAAAGCUUGCUAAUGACCUCGGCAGCACGGCUUUCAUGACGGUCCUCUAGUCAAAAUAUGUAGCCGCAACCAUUGGGCCCGUCAGGACAUUGCACCAUCCGCCUCCCAGCGUCGGGACCGUUGUCUCGCCAAACUCUCCUAACUACGACUUUGUCACAAUAGCACUUCUCUAAAGAAACAGGCUCCAUAAGUUUGUAAAUUUUUUUCAGUUGUGGAUACAAGUGAGGUGGGGAGCCAGUUAUUUAUAGAUGAAAAUAAUUAACAUAGUGACAACAAUUUUAAUGUAGCAUUAAUUUAAAACUUUGAGCCAUACAUAACUUAUUAAACUUAAUAAGGAAAACAACAAUAAGUGCACAUUGGUGAAUCUAGCAUUUCCUGCUUGAAGAACCCUCCCCCUUAUUUUUUCCCUUAAGGCGUUCAAAUUCUUCGUCAUGCUUCUCUCUGAUCUUUUCCUUUGUAAAAUAAUGCUCCCAUAUAAGAUCACUCAUCUCCUUAGUCAUCUCAGUCAGCAGAGCCGCUGAACGUGGUUCAAGUGGAUCAUCAAUCCAAAACAUGUAACCGCACCCGUCCAGCCAGAAUGGACACCGUGACAUCUUUCUUCCAGCGUUUGGGCCAGUCCCUGGAUACGUACUAUGAACAGCAAGCUUUUCACAGUAGCACGUAUCCCCUUCAAUAACCGCAUUUACUCUCUCCAUGUAAUUAAUUUUUUGUUUUGAGAUGUAUAAACGAGUUGUCCACUAUUUAUAACCAAUAUUUCGUAACAUGGCUACAAUGGACGAAUCUGUAUGCAGCAUAUUAUAAUCUGUAUGCAGCAUAUUAUAAUCUGUAUGCAGCAUAUUAUAAUUGCAAAAGCCACAAAAAGUUCACAUGGCUACAAAAAACAGGUUCACAUGGCUACAAUGGAGGAAUCUCUGCCUUCCUCCUCAACUUGUUCACAUGGAUACAAUGGACGAAAUAGUAUGCAGCAUAUUAUAAUCUGUAUGCAGCAUAUUACCAUUGCAGAAGUCAAAAAAAGUUCACAUGCCUACAGUGGACGAAUAUAUAUGCAGCAUAUUAUCAAUGCAAAAGUAAAAAAAAGUUCACAUGGCUACAGUGAACGAAUAUAUAUGCAGCCUAUUUUCAUUGCAAAAGCCAAAAACAGGUCACAUGGCUACAGUGGACGAAUAUAUAUGCAGCAUAUUAUCAUUGCAAAAGCCACAAAAAGUUGACAUGGCUACAAAAAACAGGUUCACAUGGCUACAGUGGAGGAAUCUCUGCCUUCCUCCUCAACUUGUUCACAUGGAUACAAUGGACGAAAUAGUAUGCAGCAUAUUAUAAUCUGUAUGCAGCAUAUUACCAUUGCAGAAGUCAAAAAAAGUUCACAUGCCUACAGUGGACGAAUAUAUAUUAUGCAGCAUAUUAUCAAUGCAAAAGUAAAAAAAAGUUCACAUGGCUACAGUGAACGAAUAUAUAUGCAGCCUAUUUUCAUUGCAAAAGCCAAAAACAGGUCACAUGGCUACAGUGGACGAAUAUAUAUGCAGCAUAUUAUCAUUGCAAAAGCCAAAAGCAAUUCACAUGGCUACAGUCUUCGUAUCUCUACACCCUUGACAAAUGCUAUUUACUUUUAAUGGUUAAAGUAAGGGAAUCUCUGCCUUCCUCCUCAACUUGUUCACAUGGGUACAGUAGAUAUUAGUCUAUAUGUAAUCCUAUUUUUUUGAAAGCAUGUACACUCGCAGCUUCAAACUUAAAUCAUCUUCUCAGAAAAUGUACUCACCCAGUAGAAAAUGGUUGCUUAAACAAAUGAAUGACGACUACUAUAGUUUGAAAUACACUGAUCCCAAAGAGUAUUUUGCUGGAGUGAGGCGCGAGUGGGCAUUCCGUCUUGAAGAAUCCGAUCAGUUGAGAAAUGAUCUGAUUGGACUCGGUGCAAAGCUCCCCGUCCGCGAUUCUUUAACCGUUUAUCCGGCUCGUAACUUUAACGGUAGUUGGGCUGAUUAUCGUCGUUUGGUCAUUGAAGCUGUGGAACUAAUAAGGGAAGAGAACAAUAGAAUGUUGAUGCGUCGUUGUCGUUUCUACAUGCUUAAGUUGGCUCAAGAUUCAGCAAAUGCUAGUGGUAGGGAUAUGUCUUUCGAAGAAGAAUGUGCACUUCUUCAAAAUCCAAAUUACAUUUCUGAUUACGAUAUGUCCGAUGAAGAGCCAACUGAUGACGAUGAUUCUGAUUAAUAAAUAUGACAUUGCUUAGGGUUUGUACUUGUUCAAAAUCAAGGUGUUUGUACUUCUUUUAUUUUUAUUUCAAUGAGAUUGCAAUUACAAAGACCAUAAACAUAGUAAUACAAUUACUUGAGAAUUACUCACAUCUAACAUAUGACAGAAUUCAUCAUAAGGUAAAUAAAAUCCAUCAGUGAUGCUUUGCAUACUCGUCAAAAUUCGAUUUCUCAAUAUCUUUGACUUUUACAUCAUAUUCUAACCAGUUUUCUUCCAAUAAGGCUAUCCUUUGCUCGUCCGUGAUCUGUCCUCUGAAGAAAGAAUUAUUUAUAUCUCUAUCUUUUCUGUAGUGAUAUUCUCGUAACGGAUGGCCUACUCCAUAGAUUACUUCAGUGCGAGUUUCUUCCUUAGUCGGCACCCAAUGCCUGCCCUUUCUUGCUUCUCGAUAAUGCAACAACUGCAUCUCCGCAACAAACUUCAUCUUUCUCGAAACCUUUUCCGCAGCAAUUGAAACCUCGCCUUUCGUUUCUUCAGAACCCCAAUCUUCUAUCCCCUCGUCUUCUUUUCUCGAUCGUUUAUGCUUCCCCAUUUACAGCUUUGUUAUCUUGGUCGAUGUGAAAUGUGUGUGUGUGUGUGUAUGUGGUUAAUUCAGUAGACUUAUUAACAAAUACUAACACAGGGCCAAAAGAUAGAGAGAGAGAGAGAGAGAGAGAGAAUAAAAUGUGGCGAACUUAGGCCAACCAUUUUGCAACCGGACCUCGCCUUGUUUUCUCACCACAUAUUAUUAUAUAACAUUACAUAUAUAGAAUUUUGUUAAUACAUAAUGAAACUUGAAAAGUUUAUAUUAAUUUUUAUAUAUUAUUUCAUUUCAUUUCAUUAAUUAUAUUAUUUUUACAAAUUUAUAUAUACAUAAUAAAAUGAUUUAAAAUAACAUGAUAAACAUAUAAUAAAAUAAUGCAACAAUAUAAUAUGAUUUUGAAAUAUUUUUUGAAUUUUUUAUUAUAAUAGUUUUGUUAUAAGUUUUAAUAUAAUUUAUGAUAUUUUAUAUUUGUUUUAAUUUUAAUAUAAUUGCAUGAUAUAGUUUUUUUAAAAUUUAAAAUAUAAUUGCAUGCUAUGAUUUGUGAGUGUGUAGUCUAAUCUAUAGAGUGGCAGUAUGAAAACGUGGGUCUAAUCUUUACUGUUGAUCAUGUGAAGCUAUUCUAUAAAGUGAGAAACUUUGUAGAGUAUAAUCAGUGGAGGUUGAAAAUUUUUGUUUGUUUUGUUUUGUUAUUAUUUCGAUGAUAUCAUUGUCUUCAAGCUCUCUCGUUGCAUCAUGCAACCACCUCUGUAAUUGUGGUUUGAGGGCUGAAAUCCGAACUUGUUGGAAUGAUGAGAUGAUGGCUCAGAGAUUUUACUGCUGCGGUUCUCGAACUGUAAGUAAAGUUUUGGAAUUUACAUCAUAUGUUUUCAUUCUUUGUGCUUAAAAUUGUCCAAUAUUUCAUUGCAGGCAAAUAGCUGUUAUUAUUUCAAAUGGCUUGAUGAUGAGCCUUUGGAGGACGAUGCUAUAAUUACUCGAUUGAAUGAUGAGCGUCUACAUCUGCAGGAUACUCUUCACGCUUAUGAGACAAGGGUGCAAGAACUCGAGAAUGCAAUUAUCCUGGAGAGAAGCAGGAAGAUGCAUAAGGCAAUGACUUUCGUAGUAGGUUUAGUUUGUUUACUGAUCGCAUUGUUUGUGGCUUUUCUCGUCAUUUAAAUGUUGUGUUGUUAAAUCUGUCGCAAUUUGGUUUCAAGCACUUGUAAUGACAUAUUUUCAAGUUAAUGUCACGGAUUUAAUUGUUGUACAUUUAUCUAUCGUCCUUCAGUGCAUGAUCUAGUCAUUUUAGCAGUAAGGGCCUGUAUAGAAUUUACUUUGUCAUUUCAAAACUGUAAAUAUGAGUUGUCUUCUCACCACUCUAAACAAAAUAGAGACAACACUGCAAAAGAAGACUGCAAAGAAAACAUCACUACAGCAUGGAGUUGUCAUUUCAAACUUUAAAAGAUACAGUACAACACAACACUUCAAGUUUUGUAGUAGCUAAUAAAUAAAAUGCAUUACACUACAAAUUCGAACAUGGUGGAGGUUGGAGUCAGGCUAUAAUGUGAAAUCUGUCAGGCUUAUUACUGUACACAUGUGAACCAUGUCUUCCAUCAAAACACGCAUUCAAAUAGAAAGAAUGCAUUUAAAGAAAUCAAAGCAUGCAUUUAAUGAAAAGAUACUUCAGAAUACAGUUGGAUUUGAAUUUUUGCCUAACAAUAAUUCCUUGGCGAGUUGUCUUAUAAAUAGGUCCUCUAGUCUGCCUUCUAGACAUACAUUGAACUCAGUUCCACAUUUGAACUACGAAAAUACAUCGAAAACAAUAUUUCAUUCAUCACUUCAACUGCACCAAGAUGGAAAAGGGUAAAAGGCCAAUGUCCCCCGGCUACGAAAAACGCCUGGAACAGCAACAACACAGGAGACAACAACCGGAGCUAUUGUUGGGAGGGAUGCGCAGCAACCAAAAUAACCAACGACCUACAGUAGCUCCUAAAAGCAAACCACCACAGACGUUGAAGAUCAAGCGGGAUCAUGCGUACUAUUUGCAACGCAAGUUUUCUACUAGGAGAGCCCGAAAUGGCAAAGAUUGGGUGCCGACAGAGCAGGAGGUUGAGGACGAGGGGAGACGUUAUCCUGAAGUUGAUAAACUUCAGGAUGACAGACUUCGUUGCUUGGGUAUCCCAUUUUCUGAUGCUCGCUACAAUCGAUACAUGGCUGAAAUUAAGCAAGAAUGCGAUGCAUUGCACGCUCAGCUUGAUGCACGUGAUGAAGCUGAUUAUUGGGCAAUUUGGGGAGAUGUUGACGCUGAGGACGAUGAAGAUGAUGAUGAAGAAUAUGGUUCCGACUAUAUUGUUGACAUCACCAAGGAUUGAGAACACUAAAGACUUAGAAUUCUCAUUUUAAUGAAAUAUUUAACGGUGUAUCCGGCUAGUAACUAAGGACUUAUGCAUAAUAUUUAUUUAAAUGCUUAUUAGACUUUUUAAUUUAUUUAAAUGCAUAAUAUUUAAUCAGAAUCUAUUUUAAAUUUUUAUUAUUAUUUACUGUGGAAUCAUGUGAAAGUUUAUCUCCUGCUCGGUAUGUUUUACUUGUAAAUUUGAUGUGAAAUAAAGUUUUAGAGCCAUGCCAAACCACACCUCUGUGCAAAAGAUUUGUUAGCAGAUAUUAAAUGACGAUUUUGGAUUAACAUUAAAUAAACAACUUAAUGGAUACGUACUGACUAUUUAGAGAAAUAACUUAGAAAUUACACAUCGGGCUGAGUAUUGUACAAUGGACAUUUUCUGCUGCGUCUGGUGUGGCCCUCUUGCUUGCAUCGACCACAUUUGGAGCCUGUACGGGAACUGUCCAUCUCCGUUCGUAUUCUCACGGACUGGCCCCUUUGUCCUCGGUUUUUCCUUUUCUUUCUCAAUGCCUCGUUCGGUACCACAGUUCCAAACAUUCUCCAUUCCACUGGUAAGUCAAUAUCCCAAUAACCAGUUGCUGGUAAUGGAUAAAUCAUUGGCUCCCAUAAUUUUAACAAAGUGGAGUUGUAGUGGAAUGCAACCAGCAAAGUGGUUGCAACCAGCAAUCAAAUGUGAACACGGCAGGCGGUGGCAAUGCCCAUUUCCCGCAAGUACAUGUACCAUUAGUUAUGUCAACCACCUAUGUGUUCCCUCCCUUAUUCAUCCCUUUCACCCUGUACCUUUGUGUCUUAACGGAGAACAAGCCAGUUCCUCGGUUAAACGUUUCCACCCUGUGCCCGUUCGCCUUGGUUGAAAUCUUCUCCAACUUAUUUCUCGUCCUCAGACAAAGUUCGUGACCUUCGCUCAUGCUCUCCUGCACUGCGUUCCUCUCCUUGUUGACCGUCCUAACAGUUUUAUAAAACAGGAACUCAAGCAUCGCGGCCACCGGUAGAAAGCGAGCCACACGCACGUUGCCAUUAAAGCUCUCCGUGAUGUUUGUGGUGGCCUGACCGUAACGAGCGUGGCCUGUGUCAUGAGAAAUUGUCCAUAGGGCAGGAUUUAUGGCCCUCAGCCACCUAAAGGCAUCUUCCGAAAUAUCCCCAAUCUUUUUCAUGUAGGCGUCGUGUUUUCUGAUCUGUGGCGUAUUGCCGGCGAGCCACAUGUACAUCUUAAGCUCCAUUCCUGGGUAUUUCUUGGAGAAGUUGCUCCUCACAUGGUGGAGGCAGAAUCUGUGAACUCCGAAAGGCGGGGUGAAACCAUUGUUUUCGUCAUUCAUCGCAGCGAGGAUCCCCGUGGCACGGUCAGAAAUAAUGCAAACGCCACGUCUAUCUCGGCAUACAUGCUUCCGUAAAAGACGUAGAAACCAAGACCAGUUGUCCGUGCUCUCCUCAUCAACCAAGGCAAAGCAGAUGGGAUAUUGAUGGUUGUUAGAGUCUACUCCCACCGCUACCAGCAAUUUCCCAUUAUACUUUCCCUUAAGGAAAGUACCAUCAAUGGAAAUAACUGGCCGUGCAUACUGCCAACCAUCAAUCAUUGCUUUCAAGCACCAAAAUGCCCGAACGAAUGUUGAUGUACCCCUAUCGGUGUGAUGUGGAACCACAUUAACCACGACCACGCUUCCUGGAUUUGUACUGGCCAUGACGUUAAGGAACCGAGGGAGCUCGUUAUAGGUUGUUCGCCAGUUACCAUAAGUGCUCUCCAUGCCGGCCAUCUUCCCCCUCCAUGCUUUCAUGUAACUUAUCAAAUGGUGGUAUUCAUCAUUAACCAUUGUUAUGACGUUGCUCACCUUCAACUGAGGGGUUUGGGCCACCUGUACAAAGAAAAAAGCACUAAAAUUAACAUGCAAAUACAAAAUUAAAAUAGUUAGGCUUAUAAUCAUAUAAGGGGUUGUACGACUUACGUAGGGAGCAACCAAACAUCCAAUCAUUUUUGCAGAAAUCUUUCGGUGGUCCUGCGUCGGCCUAUCUAGGAGGCAUGUGUGCUGCUCUGGACAAUUUGUUAUUUGAAAAAGCCCGUGGGUCUUCUUCUUCGCCGCCCUUAGCUUCCAGUUGCAGUCUCGAACCACACACUUUACUUUGUAGACGGACAUGCUGCUUUUCUCCACGAAGAAGUUCCGAUCUGUUUUUAUAUGUGCCUCUUUGACAGCAGAAAUAAGUAUAUCUUUGCUAGCAAAUAGAGCUCCCUCGUUUAAAUCAUCAGCGGCCGGAUCAAAAGCAAGUGACACAAGUGGGUCCCUAUUUGAAACUACGACAGGCUCGUAAUCUUGGCUUGUAAACCAGGGAGCUCUAGGCUCAUGCAUAGUCACUGCCUGUGUUUGCAUACUCGUGUUGCCUUCUAGGGCUUCGUCUGAAUCAGCCUCCGAAAAAUCUUCUGAUUCAGCAGCCUCCUCCUGUGACAAGUUCCAAUCCGAAUCGUCACUGCUGCUUAUGGCUCUUUCCGAGCCAUACUCUUCAUCUUCGUCUUCGUACUCAAGUGCAAGAGUAACAACUGCACCUUUGUUCGGCAUUUCACGAGGUGGUGAUGGCUGUCUUCCACUCAAAUCGUCCUCGUCUACAACCUCUUCAACAACAAAACGACCUGUAUUACUAGAGCCGCCUCCAGCCCCGUAGGUGUAGCCACCCUCGAAGAAGCUACUUGACCACCCUUGCAUGCUCCCGUAGUCGCUUUGCCCAUAGUUCCCCCCAUAAUCCCCUCCAAAACUCCCGCCGUAGUUUCCACCAUAAUUUGCAUACUCUCCUCCUGUAGCGAUUUGUCCGGAUUGUUGUGUAAAUGACCUUUCGUACUGUUGGCUCGGCUGAGCAAUACUCUCAGCCUCAAUAAACAAUGCUACGUCUCCCCCCAAGUGAAAUCUCGUGGGUAUACUUAACAUUCUACUAACAUCAUCGUCUGAUUUAAUAGACUUAACAAAAAACCCAGUAACGAGGUUAGCAACCCCGAUUCUUGGAUACUUGAUAGUAAGCUUGACAUCCCAAUGACGCCUACUAAUAUGCAUCAACUGGAAGACAAUAUCUCGUAAUUCUUCAUACGAGGUGCCCAAUUUCACAAACAUCAUUUCUUUCGGAUCUAGGGAGUAGAGAAUAUCGUUAUCUUGUUUGAUGAUUUCACCUCCCCAAAAGAAAUUAACGUUUACGUAUCCGUCCAUCUAUGAUUUUGAAGUGUGUGUUUUUUUAUGAUUUUCGUGUUCUGCUAGGAUUUUCUCACAAGGCAGAUUGAUAAUAUGAGGGAGAGUUUGAAGUGUUUGUUUUUCUGAUUUGGUUUUGGUGCAUAAUGAAGAACACAAAAUGCUGCUUAUAAGGACACAAUUCAAAAGAAAACACUGUGCUUGAAUAGUGGAUGCAUUUGCUUUCUCCACUUAAUGGAUUUUGCAGAAUCGUCCUCUCACCAAAAAAGUGAUUCUUUCAGCAGUAAAAACAGGCAUGAAUAGUGGAUGCAUUUGAUUUUUCCAAUUAAUGGAUUUACAGAAUCGUCCUCUCACCAAAGAAGUCAUCUUUCAGCAGUGAAAACAGGCUUGAAUAGUUGAUGCAAAUUGCUUUCUCUACUUAAUGGAUUUGCAGAAAAUCGUCUUCUCAGCAAAAAAGUGAAUAUUUGAGCAGUAAUAACAGGCUGGCUUAUUGAAUUCUUGAAUGAUUUGAAUGAAGUUGGCAGCUUUGUCCAGUGUUAAAUCAAUGUUUUGUAAUAAAAAGCUAAAAAACCUACUGCAGUGCAGGGCUUGGAUGUGACCAUACAAUCAAAAUUAUUUGCACACCCUUCAAAAAAUAAUUCUCUGCAUCACAUUUCAAUAAUUUCUUUAAAAUAUAUAUAUAUAUAUAUAUAUAUAUAUAUAUAUAAUUUACAUUAAAUUAACAUUAAUAAACUUUAAAUAUUAGGUAAAUAAAAAAAUAUUUACAAAUUAAAUUUAGUGUGGGUCUCCCGUAGCAGGGGCGACCCUGUUCGGAGGGAAACCCACCAACAGGGGUCGCCGGAGCCAGGGGCGACCCUUGCCCUCACCACAAAACAACACAGGUCGCCCUUGCCAGGGGCGACCAUUACUCUCAACAAAAAACAACGCAGGUCGCCCUUGGCAGGGGCGACCAUUACUCUCACCACAAUUCCUUCAGGGGUCGCCCGAGUUACGUAUAAUUAGGCUGGUUAGUUUUGAAAAGUUGAACGUAGGGUGGUUAGUUUUGAAAACUUUACAUUCAAACUGGUUACUUUUGUAAGGGAGCCCUGGAAGAGUUAUGGAUAAUUCUAGUACUUGAGCGGUUAAGAAGACAAUGCAAAUGAGCAUUGAGUCAUUGUACCUCGGACCAGCCAUUGAUGUUCCGGCAAUACUUUGAGAAAGUUUCCCAGAAUUAGGAUUUGUCAAAGAAGAUCUUCAUGAAGUUAGUUCUAUCCAAGCACAAGCUAUGGUGUUUUUGUCAGAUUUUCACCAGAGCUUUUGCUAAACAAAGAGAUUUUACCUAGUCUGCAACUCAAUGGAAGAUGAGAUUUUUCAAGAAACCAAUGCCAGUAGAUGGAUUACAUAUUAGGCAUGUGGGAUUACAGGUGUUCUAACUUCCGACCGAGCAACCGUUCUUACAAAACACUCCUUAUGGUUGUGAAAUAAACGAAAUCUAGGAAACUUUAAAAAAAUCACUAAAGCUUUUCAAAAAAAAUAUGCAGGAACUUAGUUUUAGCCUGUUAUGCUCCUAAUAAAAUACUUGUUCACCCUGUUCUCAGCAUGCAUUAUCAUUUAAUAUCAGAACCUGGUGUACUAGUUAUAUUGUUAGAAAAGCAUGGAGCUUAAAGGAUUAUCAUUUUACAUGUCAUCACUUCUUCAACUGAGAAUUUUAGUUACUGAAAAGAAGAAUGAACUGAAGAUGCUUCUUCACUAGGAUGGAAUCCUGAAAAGAGGUCCUUUCCUACGAGACAAGUUGAUGAUUUCACGGGUCCAGAAUUUACAACGACCAACUAUGUUGUUAGAGCUCAAAAUGAAGUAUCUUCUAAAUCUAAUGUCAAGCUAAGUUGCAAAAGUGAAAAUUCAGAUAAUGAAUCCGAUAAAGAUACAAAUUAGUUUUCGAGUAAGAUUUAAAAACUGUCCGAAAGAAGAACGAGAUGGGAAAAAAAGUUCCACAAGUCAAGAACAGAACUUUAAAUUCAAAGGACAAACCUGCUUCAUAUAAGAUUAGGUACAUCUUAGUUGAUACAUUUAGAAACUUCUUAUUAGAGUCUUAACAACCCUUCUGACUCUGAAACUUCAGUGACUUUGAUUAUCUACAACAGAGUUCAGCAUUUAUAAGAUUUAUUAGAAAUCGGAAAAGCUGAUACCAACUUGUGAAACUGCGAGGGAAAGUAAAAAUAAGUUGAACAUGACAUACGAGUGUUCAAACUACAUGUUUUAUAUUUUAACUUUUACAAUGAAUCAAGUCUGCGUGAAGCUGUCCAGAAACUUACUUUGCUCCUAUACAUUUGAACCAGAAGAGCCUCCACAGUUACUGAGUAGAAAUUUAAAUAUGCAUUCGAAAAACGAGUGGAAAUUUAAAUGAAAUAUCUCACUGCAAAUCUGAUCUACUUUGAAACGCUACGUGCGAAUAAUUUGGUUCAGUACAGAAGUUAAAAGAAGAGGACAAAGGUUGUUGUAAUUUAUUUCUUCAUUUAUCAUUCAUGAUUCAACAAACUUAUGGCAUCUCCAAGGGUAAAAAAAUCCUUAGUUCUAGUUUUAGUGGUCUAAGUGGUGUCUAGCAGUACUUUCAUAUAAUAUGAAAAAAAAUUAGUACUCCAACCUUCUGUCACCUUGGUAAAAAAUUAUAGACAAAAAAAUUUUGUUAGUUAUAUUUGUUGAACCAGAAAACCCUCUAUUUUACUAAUCUUAGUCAUAGAUAAUCUCAUUGCAAGAUAUAAAAAUUAAAAUUUUACAUUAUCAUAAUAGCCAACCAUUUUAGUUAUUAGUGUCGGAGAUGCCCUUAAACAAUCAAUAAUUGUGGAUCUUAAAAGAAGGACGUGAUGACGAUGGAAAAUAAAGAGUUUCCAAAAGUCAUAAAGAACUUUAAAGUUUCAAAGGACGAAACCUGCUUCAAAUGAGAUGAUGAUAUUAGGUGCACUUUGGUUUAUACUAUCAGAAACUUCUUCUGCAGUUUUAGACUUAACAACCCCUCCCGAACACAUUGGCCACAGCUGGAAAGAAGCUAUAAAUUUUAAAUGCUUAUACCAACAGGCUAAUAAGAUACUUAAAGCAAAGCAAAAGAAGCUCACCACAGGGCUAUUGAAAAUAAAGAAUUACUCGACGCCAUCUAGAGACAACUAAACUACCAGGCACAACAAGCUGAACAAAAAGUCGUGAAAGUGAGAUCCAUUACUAGGCAAAACUCUCUACCUUCAUCAUCAUAAAGAGUCUCCUGAUACUUAUCCAAACUAGUUGAAGCAUCUAUCUAUAAAAAUUGACAAAUAUUGCCAUAUCGGCUUCCUCUGCUAAAUUUGUUAAAAAUUCAGUAAACUGACUAAGUUUAGAUAGUCGUUGAGCAAUUUGUGCUGUUGAUUUAAUUUGUAGUCUGAUUUGUGAGUCAGUAACUUCAAUGACUUCAAAAUAAGGAAAUAAACGACUGUCCAUUGCAUACGAGUGUACAAACUCAGAUGUUUUUUUAUUUUACUAUAACCUAUGAAUCGAGUUUCUGUUGUCUGAUUGGAGCGCGAAGCUGUCCAGGAACUUAACUUUGCUCAUACACAUUUUAACCAGAACAGGCUCCACAGUUACAACUUACAAGUACGAACAUAAUAAAUUCAUACAAAAAACGCGUAGAAAUUUAAGAGAUGCAAAUCUUAUCUUCUCACUUAUUAGGCUCUCCUUUGAAAUGCAACGUGCGAAUAUAUUUUGGUCUUAUACAUAAGUUAAACGAAGACGACAAAGGUUGUUGAAUAAAUCUCUCCGACUUAUUAUCCAAGAAGUUUAUAAUAGCCAUGGGGGCCUCGUGUCGAAAAGCUUCCAUUAUUGAACCCAUCACUUACCCCUCACAUGUCUCCAUUAAAAUUCACCAUAACUUUAUUGGUAAAACAUAAAAAAUCUUCUAUUCCACCUGCACCACUGUAAACUAGGGAUGGCAAAAUAAUCCGAUCCGACGGAUAUCCGAUCCGAAACCCGAAUUUUUGGAUAUACCGAACCCGAUUUUUUGGAUUUGGAUUUCAUUUUUGUACCCGAAAUUUUUUGGAUUUGGAUAUGGAUAUGACCUCUACCGAUCCGAAACCCGAUCCGAAACCCGAAACCCGAUCCGAACCCGAUCCGAACCCGAAACCCGGAAAAAAAAACCGAAUAUUAUAUAUAUAUAUAUAUAUAUAAUAAAUAAUUUAAUACGAGUGUGUGUGUGUGUGUAUUUAAUUUUUUUUGAUGAAUGUAAUUUAAUAAUCUCAAUAUCAAUAGAUUAGAUUAAAGGAAUAAGAGAUUCUAUUUAAGACAAAUACUUCAUUAAUAAUAUAUUGUAUAAAAUAUAUUGUAUAUUGGUAAUAAUGAAAAUUAAUGUGGUUUACGUUUAUAUUAUUCUAAUUUAAACAAAUAGAAUCCCAUCCAAUAAUCCUAAUUUUGAAAAAAAUUACUUAAUUAUCAUAGUUUAGACAUGUUUAUAAUUUUUUAUUUUUAAAUAUCUUUUAAGAUAUCCGGUUGAAACCCGAAUCCGAUCCGAAACCCGAAAAAACCCGACGGAUUGGAUUUGGAUUUUACAUUUUAAUAUCCAAACCCGAACCCGAUCCGACCCGAAAUAUAACGGAUUGGAUAUGGAUUUCAAGAAACCCGACCCGAUCCGACCCGAUUGUCAUCCCUACUGUAAACUCUUCCUAUAUAAGCAAGCAAGCAUAAGCACAUUUUACACAACUUGAUCCACACCUUAAAAUGAAGCUCCCAACUUCAUUUUUACCUCUUCUUCUUCUGUUAUCAACUUUUUCUUUCUCUUCAUCAGCAACCAAAACAGAUGACUUUCUAAAUUGCCUGGCCAAGUCUUCUGAUUCCACGACAAUUUCCAAGCUUGUUUACACCCCAGCCAACUCCACUUUCGAUGCUGCAUUAACAUACUCUAUUAAUAACCUUCGUUUCGCUCAGGCCUCAACUCCGAAACCCCUAGUCAUUGUCACCCCAACAACCGAAUCUCAGAUCCAAAAUGUCAUUUACUGCACCAAGAAAACAGGCUUGGAAAUGAGGAUCAGGAGUGGUGGCCACAGUUUCGAGGGCUUCUC